rnacentral:lncRNA from 1 species
AUAGAAAGAUAAAACUUGAAAGGUUAUAUAUAGAAAGUUCAUAAAGUCGUAAAAGAUGAAUAUAUAAAAAUGCGUCAAAAGUACAUGAUGAAGAUAGGGUGAACAGAAGUUGGGUUAAGUGAAUUUUUGACAACGGAAACCAAAAUAAUAAAAUAAAAAAAAAAAGAAAAAAGCUAUGGAAAACUUGCGUGUCCCCAAAGCUAUGGUUUGUAGUCUGAUGCAGAGCUGCUGAGAUAAGGAUCAUCAAAUCGAAUAUCUUCCUCCAUACUGCCUUCUUCUCUGACUAUAUGGAUUCCAAUUGCUUUAAUGACUGAGCUCUCUAACUCUAACACACCUUCUUCUCUCUCUUCUUCUUCAUCGUCUAACACACCUUCUUCACUCUCUUCUUCUUCAUCGUCUAACACACCUUCUUCACUCUCUUCUUCUUCAUCGUCUAACACACUUUGAUAUGUAACCUCCACAUGGUUCCAUUCCUUUUCCCAAGCCACUUCUUCAAACUGAUUAUUAUUUUUGAAAGCAUACGCUUGGAGAUCAAAGAUAUGUGUAUGAUCCAAUCCCAACAUACUUUCUGUAUCGUCCGUCUCAUGGGACUCAAAUUCUUGAAAUUUUCCAUUGAUGAACACCUCUGGAUACCGGAUAAAAGACCCAGUAGACGGUGCAAUAUGAAGACAAAGAAGUUUGGCUGGAAAUUUAUUACGAAACCAGAAAGAAAUUGAAUGUCCACUGCUUUGCUGAUCGAACCACUCUGGUAUACUUGUUCCUGGAAAUACAAACUCGAUUCCUCCAGCCUCAUGCAGUUCCUGUUAGUCAUAUAAUUCAUACAGAAUUCAUAAGUUUAACAACAAUAAGUGCACUAUACAUCAUCAAAUCAUAUACAUUAUAAAAAAGACAAUACCUGAUUUAAAAGCAUGCUUUUACUCGAGGAAGUCAAGGAUGCACAGUUUCUUGCAUCGAAAUGCUUUAAGUUUGGUGGAAGCCCUCUAAUUUCCUGAAGAUGCUUGCAAUCAUGCACCACAAGAGUUGUUAAAAAUUGCAGUUCUUUGAAGAAUUCAGGAAGGAUUGUGAAAUUAUUCCCCGGUAGAUUUAAAUAUCCUACAUGAGCAAACCUCUUGGAACCUAUAAAAAAAAAAUCAUCACAUAGAUUGCAGUCCGUGGCCUCAAAAGAUAGUAUUGAGCCCACUACUUUUUCUUCACCUUCUUCCGAUUCUACCCAUUGCCACCUGUUGCAACUAUCCGUUAUACAGAAUUCACACAGUUUGGGCAUCGUGGCUAAGCUACAUCGUAACUGAACAAUUCCACAACUAUCCAGCCAUAAAAACAGGAGUCCAAUAAGAUUUUGAAAUGAAAAUGGCAAUUCUUUUAUGGGAAGGUCAUGCAAAGCAAGUACCGUUAUGUUUUUCAUCUCUCCUAAUAUUUCUGGAAAAUACUCAAGACUCGAACACCCACCAAGGUUAAGUGUUUCAAGAGAGGUCAAGUUGAGAGGCGGAAAACUCGUAAGCUUCCUGCAACCAUAAGCACUCAAUGUUUUAAGUUUAUUCAGAAAACCAAUUGAGUCAUCAACUGCAACUAAACUCUCACACCAAUUAAAUGAAAGUUCCUUCAAAUUUGGGAGAUCAGAUACAUCAGGUAUCUUUGUUAAAAAUUCGCACCGGUCAAAAUUUAAAACUGUUAGAUGCCCGAGCUUCUGCAAAGACAAAAAAAAAAAGAAAGAAAGAAGAACCAUAUGAAUAAAUUUAAAGUGAAUUUAUGAAUUCACGGGAUAAGGAAAAUAUACUCUUUAAACUUGCCUUGGAUGAGCCAUGGAACUCAAAUGACGUAAUGGAGCUGUCAGGUAACUUGCAUAUAACAAGGUUGAUAGGAUCAAAGUUAGAUGGUAAACAAUUUGAAGGAUAUCUGUGCCAUUCCAGUACUCUUAAACCUUCUGGAAAAUAAUUGGGACCUUUGGAAAAUUUGCAAUUUCUAAUAAUAAGUAUUUUAAGGUUUUUCAUCUUCAUGAAGGCGUUUUCAUUCCAUUCCACUGUUUCUUCUUUGUCAGAUAUGGAGAAAUCCAGACAUAUGAUUUCAAUUUUACUAGUCCCCUGUUAAUGCAAAAAGGCACGAAUCAACCACAAUACAACUUGUAUGAAAUAUCAAUUGACUCACUUAGAGAAAUUUACAAAUUAUCAAGAAAAAGUUAACUAUGAUGUAAAUAUGAGAUAGGCAAAAAAAAUUUCAACUAUUCAUGAGCUCACUCACCGUGUUGUCUUUUAAAACUUGAAUGAUAUCUUUUGGUAACAAUAAUCUCUUGCACUUCCCUGGCUCUUCUGGUGAUCUCUGCCGCUCAAUUUCUCUACCCAUGUCCUGGAUCAUGUCGUGCAUUUCAACAGUAUCACAGCAGCUAACCUUUACGAGAGAUUUUUCAACCAACACCCCAAUAUGAUGCUUCGUGCAGUUACCAUAAAGGUCACGGAGUAUAUUAUCAACCUCUGUCCAUUCAUACCCUUUGAAGCAACAAGCAAUGUCAAGAAAAACAUUCUUUUGUUCUUCCCCCAAAGCAUCAAAGCUUACUUUUAGAAUCUCUUGGAUUUCAUCACUGGGAAUUCUUUUAUAAUGUUCCAUAGCAGAUUCCCAUUCUGCUACAGUUUUUUCAAACAAGUUGGAACCUAUAACUUCCAAAGCCAAUGGAAGGCCAGAAGCAUAAGUUACUACACGAUUCAAGACAUCCUCAUAACUUGGAUCAAUUUUUUCUCUUUUAAAAGCAUUCCACGUAAGCAAUUGAAGAGCAGCACUCUGAUUUAAAACCUUCACCUCAUAGGUUCUUUCAACCUCAUGAUAUUUUAGCAGAUGUUUGUCCCGAGUGGUAAUGAUGACUCUGCUACCGGGACCAAACCAAUCAGGUCUUCCAACAAUAGCCUUUAAUUGCUGGCGCUUAUCAACAUCAUCUAAAAUCAAGAGAACCUUCUUUCGUUGGAGCCUAUGUUGUAUCAUUGAAGCUCCUUCUUGCCAACUUGUUAAGGUGAUGUCCUUCUCCCCAAGUAAUUUUGAAAGAAGGAUGCUUUGAAGGUGUUUUAACCCAUGUUUAUUUGAUUCUUCUCUCACAUUUUGAAGAAAACAGGAUUCAUCGAAAUGGAGAGCAAUGAAAUUAUGAACUGCCAGAGCAAGUGUUGUUUUUCCUAACCCGCCCAUUCCAUGGAUCCCUAUGAUAUGGACAACAUCAUGGGAUCCAACAUCCAAAAGCUUCAUUACCUCUGUCACUUCUGACUCUAGACCAACUGGAUAAUCCGCAACAUGUAAAGAAGCACGACUAAACUUCCUAGAGAUCUCCUCAACAAUACUCCCAAUAAACUCGUAUUCAUAUGAAUCUCUGUUUCUAACAAACAAAAAAAGUUCUGAUGAAGUCAGCGUAAAACCCUUGCAUCCAUAUUUAAAUUUGACUAGUUAAAUCAAUAGACAAGUAAAACCUAAUCCAAUAAAAACCAUAAAGUAAUAUAUAUUAGUAUGAUUGUAUACCCAUCUUUGAAAUGAUAGCCAGACAAGUCAGCUACUUGAUGCAAAGCCAUCCUCCAUUUCUGCAGCUUCUCCUUGUUAGCUUUGAACCUCUUCUGAUGCUUAGCCAUUGCUUCUCCAUAACUACCUUUCUGGUGUCUGACAUGAGAAGGAUCUACCUUAUAAAAGACCGGUAUAACCAACAGCCCUUGACUCUUGCAGUGAAGGAUGGUUACUAGUUCAUCUAAACAAAAUGAGGAAGAUGCAUAGUUUUGAGAAAGCACAGUAAUAGCAAUCCUGGACUCUUGAAUUGCGUUGGAAAGUGCAGGUUUUAUUUCGUCUCCUCUCCGAAGCUCCUGAUCAUCAAUGAAAGUGUAGAUUCCCCUGUCACAAAGAGCUUUGUAGAGAUAGCCAGUGAAACCCUGGCGUGUGUCUUGCCCUGUGAAGCUGAGGAACACAUCGUAGUUGUAUGCAAGGGAACGUGUUGUCGCAGCCAUUAUUAGAAGAAAAAAGUUCAGUAUGAUAAUGGUUGAUAUGCUGGGAGAGUAGAACCAAGCUUGAAGAAAUAUAAAAAAGAUAGUAUAGAAAAUGUUAAGUGGGGCACCAAGCAUUAUUUCACGCGGUACCAAAUGGUGUUACAAAGAAGGUAGCCGCCUUUGUGGAAAAUAUCUUGUUUUUUCUCAUUCUCUGUUUUAAAAGUCAAGUCAAGCUCUUAUAAAGAAAGAUGCUUACUUUUUUUUCAUUUUAAAAACUACUUUUUAUAAUCAAAUUAUUACAAAUAAACAAUAAAAGUAUUUUUAAUAAUUGGUACUGUAUUUCAAAUGAUUAACUGGUGGUACUACUAAUUCUCCCGCCCCAAAAAGAAUUGUUAAUUAGAGAAUCAAAAUAUAUAUUAACUAAUAAGUAAUCUGAUAAUUUUUAAUCACAAGAGCUUCAAAAUUUGUCUUUUAUAUAUAUAAAUUUCUCAUUGAAAGAGUUUUAUAAUUACCUUGAUAAUUUUGCUGAAAACACCCACACAUAAGAUGUUUUACUUUAAGUCAGAUGUAUUUGUUCGAAAAGUAUUAGAAGUUAAUUUUGUAUAAUAAAAAUCAUGUGAAAAUAUGAAAAAUGUUAACCAAUAAUUUAGGACAUUGAUUAAAAAAUAAAAAUAAAAAUAUUGAAAAAUAUCACAUACGAUAUACCUUUUUUGUAAUUUUCCAUGCACUUGUUAAUUUGAUAACGCAACUUCAAUUUUGGUGGGUCAAAGAAGAUUUUCAUAUUUUAAUUAUUCAUAAUACUCUUCUUGAUGCAUAUUAAUAGUAUUCUUUACGUCAUCAAAAAGAAAAUAUACUGAAUAAUAUUAUUCAAUUUAUCUUUCACUUGAUUCAAACUUCUUUCUCAUUUUAUCCGACUUUUCUAUACAUGAAUAUUCCCAUCCUAAAAAAGGAAUAAUAUUCAUAUUCAUUUUAAUUUUAAAUAAAACAACCGCGUUUCAUUUGCCUCUCUGACAAAAAGGCAGAAAAACAAACGUGUAGACCGUAAAAACACGUUUUCUCAUUUGCUUCUUUAGCUCUUAAUGGGUAAAGGCAGAAAAUUAGACAUGACAGACCAUAACAAACACUUUCAUAGGACAAAAACAGAAAAAAAGCUAAUGCUUUUUUUUCUAUAUAGUUUUACAAUUGUGCACUUUGAUCUUUCAAAUUUUUUUAUUACAUAUCUAGUCUAAAAAAUGAGAAACUAGUUUUUGUCUCACUCAAAUGUGAAUUCUUUGUUGCUUCUCUCACUCACACGCACACGCACACAAAGUAGAAAGGCAUCAGGAAUAAAACAAUGUUACCGAUUGAAUUAUGAAACGGAUCACAAUUAUAAUUACAAUAAUAUAAAACAAUGUUAGCGAUGACCAAAGGGAGGAUGGAAGCUAUCAAUCAACUAUUUCUUAAACGUACUUGUGUGGAUGUUUUAUGCCAAAACAUUUGGUGUGUUUGGUUAAAUUGCUGCGUGUCACUGCCAAAUCUCUUUUUUAAAUCCUCUAAUGAUUAGUCUCUUGAUUUAUUUUUAACCCCCAUUGCAUAUUCCUGUAAAAAAAAAAAAAACUGCUAUUGCAUAUUGACUUUUAUUUAAUUACCACUCCUUUUAGUUCCAUUCAUUUUUGCUGGGAGGAUGUCUCACUGGAUUUGAAGCAUAAAAGUAUCAACUAUAAAGGUGAUGGCAAAUCCUCAGAUAAAUGGGAGAGAACAGCAAAUUGUAUUUCAUUGUUUGGAUUUUUUGUGGAAUCGAUUGAAUUAUGGAACGGAUAACAAUUAUAAUUACAAUAAUAUAAAAUUUCGACCUUGAUUUUGCAUUUGCUGCACCAUCUUUUUUUAAGCCACGUAAACAGCAUAUUUGGAUUAAAUUUUGGAUAUCACGCUUUCACAUAUAGAAGUAACUUUUUUUUUUAUUUUCUAAUAAAAAUAUAGUUUGAAAUUUGAAAUUAUCUUCAAAUCUAACGAUGUUAUUUUUAUUUAAGUCACACAACAUUUAGAAUUUUGGACUAAAAUAAGUGACAACUUGUAUUUUCAAAGAACAAUUUUAUCCAACCUAAAAAAAAUAACUUUUUAUCAUUUUAUUACUUUUAGGGACAAAAUUUGCCGCGUCUCGCAGUUUCAGGAAAAAAAAAUUGGUCAUUUACUUAUCUAUUUGACAUGUUUUUAUAUCUAACUAAUAUGACAUUAAUAAUCUUUUUUAGACUUUGAUGUUUUUAUGUGAAUACCAAUUUAGUUGACUUGCACUUAAAUUUCCAACUUUUUAUAUAGUUAUUUAAUAAAAAAAUAUUAUUCCAUUAUUAUGUUUGAAAUUAAACUAAGUUUGAAAUAUUAUUUCAAGUUGGAUAAAACAUGAAAGGUUAUAUAUAGAAAAUGCAUAAAGUGGUGAAAGAUGAAUAUAAAUGAGUCGAAAGUACAUGAUGAAGAUAGGGUGAACACCAGUCAGUUGGGUUAAGUCAAUUUUUGACAACUAAAACCAAAAUAAUAAAAUAAAAAACAUGAAAAAAAUAAGAAAAAAGCUAUGGAAAACUUGCGUGUCCCCAAAGCUAUGGUUUGUAGCAACCAGGAGUUUUCUGAUGCAGAGCUGCUAAGAUAAGGAUCAUCAAAUCGAAUAUCUUGCUCCAUACUGCUUUCUUCUUUGAAUAUAUAGAUUCCAGUUGCUUUAAUGACUGAACCUUCUUCUCUUUUUUCUUUUACAUGGGUUAACACAAUUUGAUAUCUAACCUCCACAUGGUUCCAUUCCUUUUCCCAAGCCACUUCUUCAAACUGAUUAUUAUUUUUGAAAGCAAACGGUUGGAGAUCAAAGAUAUAUGUGUGGUCCAAUUCCAACAUACUUUCUAUCUUCUUACUUCCAUAAUAGAAUGGACGUUUUAGAAUUUUUCCAUUGAUGAACACCUUUGCUUUGACACCAAUCCCAGUAGACACAGGUGCAAUAAGAAGACAAAGAAGUUUGGCAGGGAAUUUAUUACGAAACCAGAAAGAACUUGAAUGUCCACUGCUUUGCUGAUCCAACCACUCUGGUAUUCUUGUUCCUGUAAACAUAAAAUUGGUUCCUCCAGCCUCAUGCAGUUUCUGUUAGUCAUCAUUCAUAAAGAAAUCAUAAGUUUAACAACAUUAAGUGCACUAUACAUCAUCGAAUCCUGUACUGUAACAAAAAAGACAAUACCUGAUUUAAAAGCAUGCUUUUAGUCGAGGAAGUCAAGGAUGCACAGUUUCUUGCAUCAAAAUACUCUAAGUUUGGAGGAAGCCCUCUAAUUUCCUGAAGAUGCUCGCAAUCACUCACCAUAAGUGCUCUUAAAAAUUGCAAUUCUUUGAAGAAUUCAGGAAGGAUUGUGAAAUUAUUCCCCGAUAGAUCUAAAUAUUCUACACGAGUAAACCUCUUGGAACCUGUUAAAAAAAAAUCAUCACAUAGAUUGCAGUUCAUGGCAAUAAACCAAAGUUCCUUUGAAGAUAUCAUUGAGCCUACUUUUUCUUCACCUUCUUCCGAUUCUACCCAAUGCCACCUGUUGCAAUUUUCAAUACGGAAUACAGACAGUUCGGGCAUCAUGGCUAAGCUACAUGGUAACUGAAUAAUUCCACAACUAUUCAGGGUUAACCGACAGAGUCCAAUAAGAUUUUGAAAUGAAAAUGGCAAUUCUUUUAUGGGAAGGCCAUCCAAAUCAAGUGCCUUUAUGUUUUCCAUCUCUCCUAAUAUUUCUGGAAAAUACUCUAGACUGGAACACCCAGAAAGUUGAAGUGUUUCAAGAGAGGUCAAGUUGAGAGGUGGAAAACUCCUAAGCUUCCUGCAACCAUAAGCACUCAAUUUUUUAAGUUUAUUCAGAAAACCAAUUGAGUCAUCAACUGCAAUUAAACUCUCACACCAAUCAAAUGAAAGUUCCUUCAAAUUUGGGAGAUCAGAUACAUCAGGUAUCUGUGUUAAAAAUUCGCACUGGUCAAAAUUCAAGACUGUUAGAUGCCAAAACUUCUGCAAAGGAAAAAAAAAAAGAAAUGAGAACCAUAUGAAUAAAUUUUAAGUGAAUUUAUUAAUUCAUGGGAUGAGGAAAAUGUAAUCUUUAAACUUGCCUUGGAUGGGCCAUGCAACUCAAAUGACGUAAUGGAACUGUCGGGUAACUUGCAUAUAAGAAGGUUGUUCGGAUGAAAGUUAUAUGGUAGACAAUUUGAAGGAUAUCUGUGCCAUUCCAGUACUGUCAAACCUUCGGGAAAAUAAUUGGGACCUUUGGAAAAUUUUCCAUUUCUAAUAAUAAGUAUUUUAAGGUUUUCCAUCUUCAUGAAGGCGUUUUCAUUCCAUUCUACUGUUUCUUCUUUGUCAGAUAUGGAGAAAUCCAGGCAUAUGAUUUCAAUUUUACUAGUUCCCUGUUAAUGCAAAAAGGCACGAAUCAACCACAAUACAACUUGUGUGAAAUAUCAAUUGACUCGAUUAGAAAAAUUCACAAAUUAUCAAGAAAAAGUUAACCAUGAUGUAAAUAUGAGAUAGAUAAAAAAAAAUUCAACUAUUCAUGAGCUCACUCACCGUGUUGUGUUUUAAAACUUGAAAUAUAUCUUUUGGUGACCAUAAUCUCUUGCACUUCCAAGGCUCUUCUGGUGAUCUCUGCCGCUCAAUUUCUCUACCCAUGUCCUGAAUCAGGUCGUGCAUUUCAACAGUACCACUAUCAUAGCAGUUAAGCUUUAUGAGAGAUUUUUCAACCAACACCCCAAUAUGAUGCUUCUUGCAGUUACCAUAAAAAGCACGGAGUAUAUCAUCAACCUCUGUCCAUUUAUACCCUUUGAAGCAACAAGCAAUGUCAAGAAACACAUUCUUUUGUUCUUCUCCCAAAGCAUCAAAGCUUACUUUUAGAAUCUUUAGGAUUUCAUCACUCGGAAUUCUUUUAUAAUGUUCCACUGCAGAUUCCCAUUCUGCUACAGUUUUUCCAAAUAAGUCGGAACCUAUGACUUCCAAAGCCAAUGGAAGGCCAGAAGCAUAAGUUACUACACGAUUCAAGACGUCGUCAUAAAUUGGAUCAAUUUUUUCUCUUUUAAAAGCAUUCCACGUAAGCAAUUGAAGAGCAGCAUUGUGAUUCAAAACCUUCACCUCAUAAGUUCUUUCAACCUCAUGAUAUUUUAGCAGAUGUUUGUCCCGAGUGGUAAUGAUGACUCUGCUACCCGGACCAAACCAAUCAGAUCUUCCAACAAUAGCCUCUAAUUGCUCGCGCUUGUCAACAUCGUCUAAAAUCAAGAGAACCUUUUUUCGUCGGAGCCUAUGUUGUAUCAUUGAAGCUCCUUCUUGCCAACUUGUUAAGGUGAUGUCCUUCUCACCAAGUAAUUUUGAAAGAAGGAUGCUUUGAAAGUGUUUUAACCCAUGUUUAUUUGAUUCUUCUCUCACGUUUUGAAGAAAACAGGAUUCAUCAAAAUGGAGAGCUAUAAAAUUAUAAACUGCCAGAGCAAGUGUUGUUUUUCCUAACCCGCCCAUUCCAUGGAUCCCUAUGAUGUGGACAAGAUCAUCGGAUCCAACAUCCAAAAGCUUCAUUACCUCUAUCACUUGUGACCCUAGACCAACUGGAUAAUCCGCAACAUGUAAAGGAGCACAAUUAAUCUUCCUAGAGACCUCCUCAACAAUAUUCCCAAUAAACUUGUAUUCAUAUGCAUCUCUGUUUCCAACAAACAAAAAAAGUUCUAAUGAAGUCAACCUAAAAGCCUUGCAUCCAUGUCUUGAUAGGUACAUUAAUUGUCAAGAUUAACAGGCACCUAUUUUCUCUUUAUAUUUUACAAGUUUAAUCAAUAGACAUGUAAACCCUAAUCCAAUAAAAACCAGUAAGUAAUAUAUAUUAGUAUGAUUGUAUACCCAUCUUUGAAAUGAUAGCCGGACAAGUCAGCUACUUGAUGCAAAGCCAUCCUCCAUUUCUGCAGCUUCUCCUUCUUAGCUUUGAACCUCUUCUGAUGCUUAGCCAUUGCUUCUCCAUAACUACCUUUCAGGUGUCUGACAGCAGAAGGAUCUACGUUAUGAAAGACCGGUAUAACCAACAACCCUUCCCUCUUGCAGUGAAGGAUGGUUACAAGUUCAUCUAAACAAAACGAGGAAGAAGCAUAGUUUUGAGAAAGCACAGUAAUAGCAAUCCUGGACUCUUGAAUUGCCUUGGAAAGUGCAGGUGUUAUGUCGUCUCCGCUGUGAAGCUUGUCUUCGUCAAAGAAGGUAUGAAUUCCCUUGUCACAAAGAGCCUUGUAGAGAUUGCCAGUAAAACCAUAGCGCGUGUCUUCCCCUCUGAAGUUGAGGAACACAUCGUAGAUGGAUGCAAGGGAACGUGUUGUUGCAGCCAUUAUUAGAAGAAAACAGUUUAGUAUGAUAAUGGUUGAUAUGGUGGGAGUGUAGAAUCAAACUUGAACAAAUAUGAAAAAGAUAGCAUACAAAAUGUUUAUUAUUACGCAGAGUAACACCGACAUAGGGUAACAAUGACAUAGUACCAAAGUAGAUAGCCUUGUGGAAAAUAUCUCGCUUUUUUUUCUUUUAAUUAAUUUGAUUUUUUUAAAUUAUAAGCUUCAAAGGUUUUCUUGCAUUAGAAUUGCGUUUGACUCAUUUUUUUAUUUGAAAGAUUGCCUUAAAAUUUAAAUUUAGAAAUAAGAGGUUUAAAUAUAACUAAAAAAUUUAAUAUAUAUUUUUUUAAUUUUCAUUAGCUUAAAACCUAAGCAGCACAUUAACAAAAUUGAACCGGAUUAAGAUAUUCUCCUUCCUUGUGACUAUUAUUUCUUUAUACCCAAAUUCAUAUUUUCAUUGCCAGUCAUUUACAAACUAUAGUUUUCUUCAUGUUAUUAAUUGUUUUUUGACUGUUAUAACGUGUUUCAUUGCACAAAACGCAAAUGGCCCACUACUUAACGAUAUAGACUAAUGCCAAGUCUGAUGCAAUAAGAUAGUACAAAGGGAGUAUAUUUUUCUUAAGUUUAUCUAAACGCAAAUGGUGCUGCUACUAGCAAUCGCUUUUAUGAUGAUUUUGAGCCUUAUUGCCAAUGGCUUACAAAGGAUGGACAAGCCACUCUUGAGAUUAAUUUGAAGGGUAUUAAUUAAAAUUCAUUUUCUCCUUAUAUGUUCUCAUUUGGAUGACAUUAAUCUUAAUAAGAGAACCUAAGAAUUUCUCCAAACUUCACACCUAACAUUAUAGGUCUCAUAUAUAUAUCACCUAACACUUUCUCCAAACUUUACACCUUUAUUUUUAAGGACACAAAACCUAAGAAUAUCAUAAUUAAUCGUCCCAAACUUGAUAAGUAAUAAGACAAAAUAUUGAUGAUAUCAGUUAAAAAUGGAAAGAAAAUCAUAAUAAUAAAUUAAGAUGAAAUUUAUUCUAAUGGUAUACAUAUGGUAAUUUUUUCUUAUCUUAAACUCUUGCAUGUUUUAAAAAGGAGUCACUUAAGAUUCAAACCUACAACUGGGGGAUCCUAACUAUUCACCAAGAAAGGCCUGAGAUGCAUCCAAUAACAAAUGGAGCCGUUUCUGCAGAGAAAUUAAAAUUUUAAAAGGAUGUAAUAUGAAUUCAAUCCGUGCAAAGUUUUCUCAUGGGGUUCUUUUCAUUGCAAUGCCUAAAGAAGCAGUCAUGGAGAAUCAUUUCAUUUGGGAAAAGAAACAAGAAAGAGAGUAUAAGGCAUUAAAGUUGCAGAUGGAGUGGUGUUCAUGGUGGCACUUGAGACUUAUAUUGGUCGACUAGUAAGUAGUGAUAAAGCUUAUUAAGUUUCAUUGCUAUUAAAAAACACAAUUUCUUUCUCAACUUAUUAAGUUUUAUGAUAAAGCUUCAUCCUUAUUAAAUGAUUUCAAUUUUCUUUCUCUUUUUAAAAUUUCCACAAAUAUCAUCAUCAUCAUCACUUUGAUGAUUAUUAUGGUUUGUAAAUCUUUUAUCCACUUAACUUUCAAAAUAAUUUAAAAAUCCAUUUCUUAAGAAUUUGGUUUCUGCAAAAAAUUAGUAAUUUCUUCUCACAUAACACGGCUGUUAAUUAUCUAUUAACAUUUGACGUUUAUCUCAUUUAUUUAAUAUAUGUUCUAGCAUAACCUUCUAACGGUGAUGCUCUUUUGAGAGUUCUUCCGAAUGAUGGUGAAAGGAACUAGUGAAAUGUACCUUCAAAAGUACUUUGACAGCAUAUAAGAAUACAGGUUGAAUUAAUAGUUGGUUUUACUUGACCUUAAAGACCUUUUUUAUAAUAGUUGGAUUGUCAAUUUCAUACUGCUAGUUAAUAUUUUUUAAGUAUGUAUGUAGGUAUUAUCUUGUAUAUGAUUGUGUAUAUCAAUAUUUUUAUCUUUGAAUAAAAAAUAUGUAUUAAAAUGAUUUUUAUUGAAAUUUUCCUUAUUACAUUUUGAUAAAGGUAGAAAUUUUUUACCGCUAAAAACAUAUUAAAAUGUUUUUUUAUUGAAAUUUUCCUUAUUUCCUUUUCAUGAUAUUUAUAAUGAUUCCUACUCAAAAAAAAGAUUGUCAAUCAUGGCCAACAACAGAAAGAACAUAAAGACAAUAAGAGGAUUGAAAAAAGUAUUGAAAGUUUGUUGUAGGUUUGCUGAUAAAGCAAAGAAUAUCUCUUUAGCUGAGAUUACGUAUAAUUGCCGAGAUAAACUUUUUUUUUUCUGCAUUAUAUUGGACAUGCUUUCCAUUUGGGCCUUGUUACGAUCACAUUUAGUGUUCCACCGAAAAUUAACAAAAUGCAAAUAAUCAAAUAUUUAUAAUAAUUAUCAAUAUAAAACAACAUUUGUUCACCAAAGAUACUAAUAAUAGAUAACACAAAAGUUGACAAUUAGAAGUUGUUUUACCAUUCUCAUCUAAACCAUCAAAAUAUAACUAUAACUAAACUUGUUUUCUAUUUCACAUUGGGAAUAAAUAUUAUUUCUUUGCUUGAAUUGAGGCAUGUCUUCACAAUUUCUCCUUCUCCGUUGGUACGUUGACAGUCUUUGAUAAUCAAUGUCAAUAGUUUUUGUAUUUUUUUUACUCAAUUGUUUGUUAACUUUUGUAACCUUUGAAUUUUGUUUGAAGAACCUAACAUGGAAUUUAUGGUAACCCACAUACACAUAGAACUAGACGAUAUAUAUCGCGUGAAGGAGCAAUAUCUACUAAGGUUGUAAAUCAACUUUAUAAUUUUAAUCCUUCUUGAUAUUAUUAUUCAUUGUUAUUUCUAACUAUGUAAAUUUGAAUCACAGUAUUAUCUUGGUCAUCACCAAUAUCAAUCAUAUGCCGAACCCAAUGUAACUCGGGUGCAUAUUCCUGGAUGUAUGUCUCAACAUCAACCAUCACAAGCACAAUAUUAAUUUUAUGUCCCAUAUCUAGAAUAACUUGUUGUAGGACAUCGUUUCAUUAUUAGUUUAACAAAUAUGUAAAUUUUAUUUAAAUAUAAUCAAUUUUUAAUUUAAAGUUUUCAUGUAUUUUUUUUGAUAGAUUAUUUAAACUUUAAAUAAAAAACAUUUAACGUAAAUUAUAUUAAAAAUAUAUAUAACAUGUUUUAAAUAAUAAAACAUUAGAAUAAAAUAAUAACAUAUCAAAUAAAAUCACAAAAAAUAUAUAGGAAUUAAGAUAAAACUUGAAAGGUUAUAUAAAUUGCAUAGCCAUCAGAGAUAUACAUGAUGAAGAUGGGGUGGACACUAGUUUGGUUAAUUCGAUAUCCAAACUGAUUAAUGUUAAACGGUUUGGAUUAGUUUGAGUUUUUUAACAUUUUUUACAUCUCUCAAACCAAAAUAAUAAAAUAAAAAACAAGAAAAAAAAAAAACAAAAAAGCUAUGGAAAACUUGCAUGUCCCCAAACCUAUGGUUUGUAGCAAGGAGGGGUUUUCUGAUGCAGAACUGCCGAGAUAAGGAUCAUCAAAUCGAAUAUCUUCCUCCAUACUGCCUUCUUUAAAUAUAUGGAAUCCAGUUACUUUAAUGAGUGAGCCAUCUAAGUCUAACAAACCUCUUUCUCUUUUUCUUUUUUCAUACGCUAACACACCUGGAUAUCUAACCUCCACAUGGUUCCAUUCUUUUUCCCAAGCCAUUUCUUCAAACCGAUUAUCAUUUUUUAUAGCGAACGCAUGGAGAUCAAAGAUAUAUGUAUGAUCGAUAUCCAAUUUCAACAUACUUUGUAUAUCGUCCCAUAAAUAGUAGUGCCAAAAUUCUUGAAAUUUGCUAUUGAUGAACACCUCGAGUUUAAGGAAAGGAUACCCGGCACCCGACACAGGUGCAAUAAGAAGACAAAGAAGUUUGGCAGGGAAUUUAUUACGAAACCAGAAAGAACUUGAAUGUCCACUGCUUUGCUGAUUGAACCACUCUGGUAUUCUUGUUCCUGGAAACAUAAACUUGGUUCCUCCAGCCUCAUACAGUUCCUGUUAGUCAUAAUUCAUAAAGAAUUCAUAAGCUUAACAACAUUAAGUGCACCAUCAUCAAAUCAUAUACAUUAUAAAAAGACAAUACCUGAUUUAGAAGCAUGCUUUUACUCGAGGAAGUCAAGGAUGCACAGUUUAUUGCCCUGAAAUCUUUUAAGUUUGGUGGAAGCCCUCUAAUUUUCUGAAGAUGCUCGCAAUCACUCACAUCAAGAGUUCUUAAAAAUUUCAGUUCUUUGAAGAAUUCGGGAAGGAUUGUGAAAUUAUUCCCCGAUAGAUCUAAAUAUUCUACAUGAGUAAACCUCUUGGAACCUGUUAAAAAAAAAUCAUCACAUAGAUUGCAAUUCAUGGCACGAAACCAACGUGCCUUUGAAGAUAGUAUUGAGCCCACUUUUUCUUCACCUUCUUCCGAUUCUACCCAUUGCCACCUGUUGCAAUAUUCAAUAUGGAGUUGAAACAAUUCGGGCAUCAUCACUAAUCUGCAUGGUAACUCAACAAUUAAACAGCUCCACAGGUAUAACACUUGAAGUCCAAUAAGAUUUUGAAAUGAAAAUGGCAAUUCUUUUAUGGGAAGGUCUCUCAAAACAAGUUGCUUUAUGUUUUCCAUCUCUCCUAAUAUUUCUGGAAAAUACUCAAGACUGGAACACCCAGAAAGUUGAAGUGUUUCAAGAGAGGUCAAGUUGAGAGGAGGAAAACUUGUAAGCUUCCUGCAACCAUAAGCAUUCAAUUUUUUAAGUUUAUUCAGAAAACCAAUUGAGUCAUCAACUGCAACUAAACUCUCACACCCUUUAAAUGAAAGUUCCCUCAAAUUUGGGAGAUCAGAUACAUCAGGUAUCUGUGUUAAAAAUUUGCAGUUGUCAAACUUCAAAACUGUUAGAUGCCCGAACUUCUGCAAAGGAAAAAAAAAGAAGAAAAGAAAUAAGAAGGAAUGAAUAAAUUUAUAGUGAAUUUAUUAAUUCACUGGAUGAGGAAAAUAUACUGUAUAAACUUGCCUUCGAUGAGCCAUGAAACUCAAAUGACGCCAUGGAACUGUCAGGUAACUUGCAUAUAAGAAGGUUGUUCGGAUGAAAGUUAGAUGGUAAACACUUUGAAGGAUAUCUGUGCCAUUCCAGUACUCUCAAACCUUCUGGAAAAUAAUUGGGACCUUUGGAAAAUUUGCCAUUUCUAAUAAUAAGGAUUUUAAGGUUUUCCAUCUUCAUGAAGGCGUUUUGGUUCCAUUCCACUGUCUGUUCUUUGUCAGAUAUGGAGAAAUCCAGACAUAUGAUUUCAAUCUUACUAGUUCCCUGUUAAUUCAAAAUAGCACGAAUCAACCACAAUACAACUUAUGUGAAAUAUCAAUUGACUGAAACGUUUAGAUAAAUUUACAAAUUAUCAAGAAAAAGUUAACUAUGAUGUAAAUAUGAGAUAGACCAAAAAAAAUUCAACUAUUCAUGAGCUCACUCACCGUGUUGUGUUUUAAAACUUGAAUUAUAUCUUUUGGUAACCAUAAUCUCUUGCACUUCCCUGGCUCUUCAGGUGAUAUCUGCCGCUCAAUUUCUCUACCCACAACCUGAAUUAGGUCAUGCAUAUUUACUGUACCAUGCCUAACCUUUAUGAGAGAUUUGUCAACCAACACAUCAAUAUGAUGUUUCAUGCAGUUAUUGUAAAGACCACGUAGCAUAUGUUCAACCUCUGUCAAUUUGCAUCCUUUGAAGCAACAAGCAAUGUCAAGGAAAACAUUCUUUUGUUCUUCCCCCAAAGCAUCAAAGCUUACUUUUAGAAUUUCUAGGAUUUCAUCAUUGGGAAUUCUUUUAUAAUGUUCCACAGCAGAUUUCCAUUCUGCUACCCUUUUUCCAAACAUGUUGGAACCUAUGACUUCCAAAGCCAAUGGAAGGCCAGAAGCAUAAGUUACUACACGAUUCAAAACGUCCUCAUAACUUGGAUCAAUUUUUUCUCUUUUGAAAGCAUUCCAUGUAAGCAAUUGUAGAGCAGCAUUCUGAUUCAAAACCUCCACCUCAUAUCUUUUUUUAACCCCAUGAGGUGCUAGCAGUUGUUUGUCCCGAGUGGUGAUGAUGAUUAUGCUGCCAGGACCAAACCAAUCACGUCGUCCAGCAAUUGUCUGUAAUUGCUGGGGCUUGUCAACAUCGUCCAGAAUCAAGAGAACCUUCUUCCCCUUAAGCAUAGACUGGAUCUUUGAAAUUCCUUGUUGCUUACUUCUUACUUUGAUGUCCUCUCCAAGUAUUUCUGAAAGAAGAAUGCUUUGGAGGUGUUGUAACCCAUGAUUGUUUGAACUUUCUCUCACGUUUUCAAGAAAACACAAACCAUCAAAAUUCUCAGUAAUUAUUAAAUCAUUAUAGACAGCUCGAGCAAGAGUUGAUUUUCCUAUCCCACCCAUUCCGUGGAUCCCUAUCAUGCAGACACCAUCAUGGUUUCCAACAUCCAAAAGCUUCCUUACUUCUUGUACUUUUGACUCUAGUCCAACAGGCAGAUCCGCAACAUGUAAACUAGCAGGGUUAAUCUUCUCAGAGACCGAUGCAACAAUUCUCCCAAUAAACUUGUAUUCAUAUUCAUCUCUAUCUCAAACAAAAAAGUUUCAAUGAAAUUAAACUAAAAGCCUAGUAUCCAUGCCCUGAUAAGUCCAUACGUGUAUCGACAAGGUUAACACAUAUUUCUUUUCUCUUUAAAUUUGAACAUUAAAUUGUCAGACAAGUAAAACUUAAUCCAAUAAAAAAUAAAAAAUAAAAAGAAAGGUAUGGUUGGGUACCUAUCUUUGAAAUGAAGGCCAGACAAGUUGGCUACUUGACGCAGAGCCCUCUCCCAUUUCUGCAACUUGUCUGGAAAUCUUUUCUUAUGCUUAGCCAAUGCUUCUCCAUAAGUACCUUUCUGGUGUCUGACAUCACAAGGAUAGACCUUAUAAAAGACCGGUAUAACCAUCAUCCCAUUAUACUGGGCGCAGAAAAGGAUGGUUGCAAGUUCAUCCAAGCAAAAUGAGGAAGAAGCAAAGUCUUCAGAGAGCACAGUGAUGGCAAUCCUGGAAUCUUGAAUUGCCUUCAAAAGUGCUGGUGUUAUUUCCUCUCCACUGUGAAGCUUGUCUUCGUCAAAGAAGGUAUGAAUUCCCUUGUCACAAAGAGCCUUGUAGAGAUUGCCAGUAAAACCAUAGCGUGUGUCUUCCCCUCUGAAGCUGAGGAAAACAUCGUAGAUUGAUGCACGAGAACGUGUUGCCGCAGCCAUUAUUAGAAGAAAAAAGUUUAGUAUGGUUAUGGUUGAUAUGGUAGGAGGUAGAAUGAAACUUGAACAAAUAUGAAAAUGAUAGUAUACCAAAUGCUGUGUAUUAUAAAGAAGAUAGCCGCCUUUGUGGAAAAUAUCUUGUUUUUUUUCAUUCUCUGUUAUAAAAAGUCAAGCUCUUAUAAAGAAAGAUGCUCUCACUUUUUUCAUUUUAAAAAAUACUUUUUAUAAUCAAAUUCUUACAAAUAAACUAUAAAAAGUAUUUUUAAUAACUGGUAUUUUAUUUAAAAUAAUUAACUGGUGGUACUACUAAUUCUCCCGCCCCUAAAAGAAUUGUUAGAGAAUCAAAGUAUAUAUUAACUAAUAAGUAAUCUGAUAAUUUUUAAUCACAAAGAGCCUCAAAAUUUGUCUUUUAUUAAAACAGAGUAAAAAUAUAAGUGAGAGACGAAAAUAGAGAAGAGAUAGAAUACGAGAAAAAAGUUAUGCAUACUCGAAGCGUAAUUUUUUUUACAUAACUAAGAAUCCAUUCAAAUUCACUGAGUAUCACUGAAACUAACGCUCUAGAAUCCAUUAAAAUUACUAGGUCAUAUUGUCAGAGUAACUGGAAUUCCGUAUCUCACAAAAUCUUAAAACAACCAGCUAUGUUUUCAUCCAAGACAAACCUUAUCAUGAUAAUGAAUAAGAAGUUUAGAUAGAUCAUAUAGUAGUAUGCUAGCUAAGUCCUAAGAAGUACACUUUCAAAAUUUAACUAAUUUAAGUUUUUCUCCUUUCUGAUCAAAUUAUUUAGCAUAACCAGUAGGAACCUGAUCAUCCUAGCAAUUAGAAGGGAGAAAGUAGAACCUGCAAAAAUAAAAAAGUUAAAGAUAUAAAUUUGUAUUGACUUAAAUAUUUAAAAUGAAUAAAUAAUCAAUUUUCUUCCUAAAAGUAUGAGGCAGUAUGCAGUGUCAAUUUAAUCCCUAAAAGUAAUAAAAUAAAGGAGAAAAAAUCUCCAAUGUCCUUACCGUAUCACUUUAGUUCCUAAACUUAACUUAUUGUCAUUUGGUCCUUAAGAUAUGCUAAUUUUUUUUAUUUUAAUAAGUCACACAACAUUUAGAAUUUUGGAUUAAAAUAAGUGACAACUUGCAUUUCCAAAGAACUUUUUUUUUAUCUAACCUAAAAAAAAUACCUUUUUAUCAUUUUAUUACGUUCAGGAGCUCAAGUGGCCACGUCCCGCAAUUUCAGGAAAAAAAAUGACAUUUACUUAUCUAUUUGACAUGUUCUUAUAUCUAACUAAUAUGAUAUUAAUAAUCUUUUGUAAACUUCGAUAUUUUAACGUGAAUGCUAGUUUAGUUGACUUUUUGCUCUUAAAUUUACAAUUUUAGUUAUUUGAUAAAAAAAACAUUAUUCCAUUAUCAUGCCUCAAGUUAAACUAAGUUAGAAAUAUAUUUAAAACACUAUAUAUUACUAAAAGUUUUAUGUUCUGUUUAUAUGACUGAAAUAUAUUGUCAAUAAAAAUACAAACAUAAAUUAAUUAAUUACUAUUCAUAUUUUUUAUCAAAAUUAAAAUUUUCAAAUGUACUUUUAGAUCACAUAUACUAAUAUUAGUAGUAUAAAAAAAAUUGUAAUAUAUUAUUAAAUAAGUAUACAAAAAAAUUACAAAUAUAUUUUUAUAUUGUUUUAUAGUAGAACUUGUAAGGGAAAAUCUAAAACUAAACAAAAAGCAUAUUAAAUAAUUUUUUUACUUUCUUUUAAUUACAGUGUAUAUAUAAGAUAGAUAUAUUUUUUACUUACUAAAACUAAACACAAUUUUGAUAUCUGUUGGUUUAUGUAGUUUUGAAAUCUGACUAUAAAAAUAUAUAGAAAGUUAAACUUGAAAGGUUGCAUAUAGAAAAGGUUAUAUAUAGAAAAUACAUAUAGUCGUGAAAGAUGAAUAUAAAUGAGUCAAAAGUACAUGAUGAAGAUAGGGCGAACAGCAGUUGGGUUAAGUCAAUUUUUGAUAACUGAAACCAAAAUAAUAAAAUAAAAAACAUGAAAAAAACAAGAAAAAAGCUAUGGAAAACUUGCGUGUCCACAGAACUAUGGUUUGUAGGAAGGAGGGGUUUUCUGAUGCAGAACUUCUGAGAUAAGGAUCAUCAAAUCGAAUAUUUUCCUCCAUACUGCUUUCUUCUUUGAAUAUAUGGAUUCCAGUUGUUUUAAUGACUGAGCUCUCUAAGUCUAACACACCUUCUUUUCUUUUUUCUUUUUCAAACGAUAAUACACUUUGAUAUCUAACCUCCACAUGGUUCCAUUCCUUUCCCCAAGCCACUUCUUCAAACAGAUUAUUAUUUUUGAAACGUAAAUCUUGGAGAUCAAAGAUAUAUGUAUGAUCCAAUUUCAACAUACUUCCUAUCUUCUUACUUCCAUAAUAGAGCGGAAAUUUUAGAAUUUUUCCAUUGAUGAACACCUUUGGAUUAAGGACACCAAUCCCAGUAGACACAGGUGCAAUAAGAAGACAAAGAAGUUUGGCAGGGAAUUUAUUACGAAACCAGAAAGAACUUGAAUGUCCACUGCUUUGCUGAUUGAACCACUCUGGUAUUCUUCUUCCUGGAAACAUAAAACAGGUUCCUCCAGCCUCAUGCAGUUUCUGUUAGUCAUAUAAUUCAUACAGAAUUCAUAAGUUUAACAAUAUUAAGUGCACUAUACAUCAUCAAAUCAUAUACAUUAUAAAAAAGACAAUACCUGAUUUAAAAGCAUGUUUUUACUCGAGGAAGUCAAGGAUGCACAGUUACUUGCAUCGAGAUACUUUAAGUUUGGUGGAAGCCCUCUAAUUUCCUGAAGAUGCUCGCAAUGACUCAUGUCAACACUUAUUAAAAACUGCAAUUCUUUGAAGAAUUCAGGAAGGAUUGUGAAAUUAUUCCCGGAUAGAUUUAAAUAUCUUACAUGAGCAAACCUCUUGAAACCUGCUAAAAAAAAAUCAUCACAUAGAUUGCAAUUCAUGGCAGAAAACGAAUGUGCCUUUGAAGACGGUAUUGGGCCCACUUUUUUUUCACCUUCUUCGGAUUCUACCCAUUGCCACCUGUUGCAAUUAUAAAUAUCGAUUCCAGACAGUUCGGGCAUCAUGGCUAAGCUACAUGGUAACUUAACAAUUCCACAGCUCCCCAGGGUUAACCAUGGGAGUCCAAUAAGAUUUUGAAAUGAAAACGGCAAUUCUUUUAUGUGAAGGCCAUACAAAAAAAGAUGCUUUAUAUUUUCCAUCUCUCCUAAUAUUUCUGGAAAAUACUCAAGACUGGAACAGUGAGAAAGUGCAAGUGUUUCAAGAGAGGUCAAGUUGAGAGGCGGAAAACUCGUAAGCUUCCUGCAACCAUAAGCACUCAAUUUUUUAAGUUUAUUCAGAAAACCAAUUGAGUCAUCAACUGCAACUAAACUCUCACACCAAUUAAAUGAAAGUUCCUUCAAAUUUGGGAGAUCAGAUACAUCAGGUAUCUUUGUUAAAAAUUCGCACUGGUCAAAAUUUAAAACUGUUAGAUGCCCGAGCUUCUGCAAAGACAAAAAAAAAAAGAAAGAAAGAAGAACCAUAUGAAUAAAUUUAAAGUGAAUUUAUGAAUUCACGGGAUAAGGAAAAUAUACUCUUUAAACUUGCCUUGGAUGAGCCAUGGAACUCAAAUGACGUAAUGGAGCUGUCAGGUAACUUGCAUAUAACAAGGUUGAUAGGAUCAAAGUUAGAUGGUAAACAAUUUGAAGGAUAUCUGUGCCAUUCCAGUACUCUUAAACCUUCUGGAAAAUAAUUGGGACCUUUGGAAAAUUUGCAAUUUCUAAUAAUAAGUAUUUUAAGGUUUUUCAUCUUCAUGAAGGCGUUUUCAUUCCAUUCCACUGUUUCUUCUUUGUCAGAUAUGGAGAAAUCCAGACAUAUGAUUUCAAUUUUACUAGUCCCCUGUUAAUGCAAAAAGGCACGAAUCAACCACAAUACAACUUGUAUGAAAUAUCAAUUGACUCACUUAGAGAAAUUUACAAAUUAUCAAGAAAAAGUUAACUAUGAUGUAAAUAUGAGAUAGGCAAAAAAAAUUUCAACUAUUCAUGAGCUCACUCACCGUGUUGUCUUUUAAAACUUGAAUGAUAUCUUUUGGUAACAAUAAUCUCUUGCACUUCCCUGGCUCUUCUGGUGAUCCAACUUGUAUGAAAUAUCAAUUGACUCACUUAGAGAAAUUUACAAAUUAUCAAGAAAAAGUUAACUAUGAUGUAAAUAUGAGAUAGGCAAAAAAAAUUUCAACUAUUCAUGAGCUCACUCACCGUGUUGUCUUUUAAAACUUGAAUGAUAUCUUUUGGUAACAAUAAUCUCUUGCACUUCCCUGGCUCUUCUGGUGAUCUCUGCCGCUCAAUUUCUCUACCCAUGUCCUGGAUCAUGUCGUGCAUUUCAACAGUAUCACAGCAGCUAACCUUUACGAGAGAUUUUUCAACCAACACCCCAAUAUGAUGUUUGGUGCAGUUACCAUAAAGGUCACGGAGUAUAUCAUCAACCUCUGUCCAUUUAUACCCUUUGAAUCAACAAGCAAUGCCAAGAAAAACAUUCUUUUGUUCUUCCCCCAAAGCAUCAAAGCUUACUUUUAGAAUCUCUUGGAUUUCAUCACUGGGAAUUCUUUUAUAAUGUUCCAUAGCAGAUUCCCAUUCAGCUACAGUUUUUUCAAACAAGUUGGAACCUAUAACUUCCAAAGCCAAUGGAAGGCCAGAAGCAUAAGUUACUACACGAUUCAAGACAUCCUCAUAACUUGGAUCAAUUUUUUCUCUUUUAAAAGCAUUCCACGUAAGCAAUUGAAGAGCAGCACUCUGAUUUAAAACCUUCACCUCAUAGGUUCUUUCAACCUCAUGAUAUUUUAGCAGAUGUUUGUCCCGAGUGGUAAUGAUGACUCUGCUACAGGGACCAAACCAAUCAGGUCUUCCAACAAUAGCCUUUAAUUGCUCGCGCUUAUCAACAUCAUCUAAAAUCAAGAGAACCUUCUUUCGUUGGAGCCUAUGUUGUAUCAUUGAAGCUCCUUCUUGCCAACUUGUUAAGGUGAUGUCCUUCUCCCCAAGUAAUUUUGAAAGAAGGAUGCUUUGAAGGUGUUUUAACCCAUGUUUAUUUGAUUCUUCUCUCACAUUUUGAAGAAAACAGGAUUCAUCAAAAUGGAGAGCAAUCAAAUUAUAAACUGCCAGAGCAAGUGUUGUUUUUCCUAACCCGCCCAUUCCAUGGAUCCCUAUGAUGUGGACAACAUCAUGGGAUCCAACAUCCAAAAGCUUCCUUACCUCUAUCACUUGUGACCCUAGACCAACUGGAUAAUCCGCAACAUGUAAAGGAGCACGAUUAAUCUCCCUAGAAACCUGCUCAAAAUACUCUGGAUAAACUUGUAUUCAUAUGCAUCUCUGUUUCAAACAAACAAAAUAAGUUCUGAUGAAGUCAGCCUAAAAGCCUUGCAUCCAUGUCUUGAUAGGUACAUUAAUUGUCAAGGUUAACAAGAGCAUUUCUUUUCUAUUUAAAUUUUACUAGUUAAAUCAAUCGACAAGUAAAACCUAAUCCAAUAAAAACCAUAAAGUAAAAUAUAUUACUAUGAUUGUAUACCCAUCUUUGAAAUGAUAGCCACACAAGUCAGCUACUUGUUUCAAAGCGAUCCUCCAUUUCUGCAGCUUCUCCUUCCUAGCUUUGAACCUCUUCUGAUGCUUAGCCAUUUCUUCUUCAUAACUACCUUUCUGGUGUCUGACAUCAGAAGGAUCUACGUUGUAAAAGACCGGUAUAACCAACAGCCCUUUCCUCUUGCAGUGAAGGAUGGUUACAAGUUCAUCUAAACAAAAUGAGGAAGAAGCAUAGUUUUCAGAAAGCACAGUGAUAGCAAUCCUGGACUCUUGAAUUGCCUUCAAAAGUGCAGGUGUUAUUUCCUCUCCGCUGUGAAGCUUCUUUUCGUCAAAGAAGGUAUGAAUUCCCUUGUCACAAAGAGCCCUGUAUAGAUUGCCAGUGAAACCAUGGCGUGUGUCUUCCCCUCUGAAGUUGAGGAACACAUCGUAGAUGGAUGCACGGGAACAUGUUGUUGCAGCCAUUAUUAGAAGAAAAAAGUUUAGUAUGAUUAUGGUUGAUAUGGUGGGAGUGUAGAAUCAAACUUGAACAAAUAUGAAAAUGAAAGUAUACCAAAUGUUAUAAAAGUCAAGGCAAGCUCUUGUAAAGAAAGAUGCUCUCACUUUUUUCAUUUUAAAACCUACUUUUUAUAAUCAAAUUAUUACAAAUAAACAAUAAAAGUAUUUUUAAUAAUGGGUACUGUAUUUCAAAUAAUUAACUGGUGGUACUACUAAUUCUCCCGCCCCAAAAAGAAUUGUUAAUUAGAGAAUCAAAAUAUAUAUUAACUAAUAAGUAAUCUGAUAAUUUUUAAUCACAAGAGCUUUAAAAUUUGUCUUUUAUAUAUAUAAAUUUCUCAUUGAAAGAGUUUUAUAAUUACCUUGAUAAUUUUGCUGAAAACACCCACACAUAAGAUGUUUUACUUUAAGUCAGAUGUAUUUGUUCGAAAAGUAAUAGAAGUUAAUUUUGUAUAAUAAAAAUAAUGUGAGUAAAUUAUUUUACAAGAAAUUUAUAUCCGUAUUUUUUUAUAAAAAUUAUCCAAAAUCAUCAAUCACUCAUCAUUUUCUUCCCUUCCCAAUGUACUGUUGACAUCCUUAAUAUAUUUUCAAGUAUUUUUCAGUAACUACUGAAUUUUUUGUUUCACAUAACAAACCACACUGAAACUCUGGCAUGAUUAUAUGGAAUUAUUUAUCUCUCAUAGUUGAUUCUAUUUACCACAUUUUGUAGAAACUAGAUCAUUUUUCCUCACACAUUUCUUGUGGUCUUUUGCAAGAAUGAAAAGUUAAAAAGUGUGUUUCAUUGCAGUAAAUUUCUGGUGGUUCGUGUUGAGACUCGUUGGCAAGUGUACCAAAUCGUCACAAGUAGUAAAGUACUCGGAAGUCCGAGUGUCGAAUCCACAGGGACUUUGUUUGUACUUAGAUUAAUGCAAAUCCAACUUAAAAGCAAGAGAUAAGAAUUUAAAAAAAAGAUAGAAGAUAAGGUAAAGAAAAGAUAAAAGAUUUAAAGAUAAAAUUAGGAGAUGAAAGAAUUAAAGAUAAAAUUAAAAGAUAAAGAAAAAGAUAAAAGAUAAAAGAUUUAGAUAAAAUAAUAUUAGGAACUGACUUGCCUUGUCUGCCUAGGAUGUAUGAGUUUAUGAUUUUUUCUUUACCAAUUCAGGUGAUUUUAUCCCACCCACAUCUAUUCAUUUACUUGCCCCUGAUGCCUCACAAUGACAAGUCUAUUUUACCUAUCUAUCCCCCAAAUGCCUUUGCAAAGACUCAAUAGAUAAAAUGCAUGAAGUUCUAAUUCUAGAUGUUUGCUUUGACGCAUGGGCAUAAUGCAAUCACUCUAUGCCUAGCAAUGAUUUUAUUAUGAUAUCUUUUCUUCUUGUUCUAUUAGAAGUUAUCCUCUCCCGAGCGUCUAACCCCUAAAACUAAUGCAUGCAUAUCUUCUUUAAAUCUUAUUUAGAAGUUACCCUCUCCCCUGAGCAUCUAACCCCUAACAGAAUAUAAAGAUGAGUAUGCAAGAUAAAAAUAUAAAAGAAAAUAGGAAAGAAAAACCUAGUAUUGCAUUGAUAAAUAGUGAAGAGUACAUCAUACAUCACUUUGGCUUCUAGGCCUGCCAGGCCCUAACUAAGGGUUUAGCCACUCAUGGCCGAGGGCUUUACAAGUAGAAGAGGGGGGAAAGAAAAGGAGUAAAUGAAACCCCUAGGAGAGGGGGUUCUGUCGUGGUGUGUUCUAUCCCUUGGACUGGCUCUCUAUUUAUAGCUGCUGAAGUGGGCUUUGGGCCUUCGUAGGCGCGCUCAGCGCGACACCCCCACGCUCAGCGCGUGUAGAUCGCGCGCUUAGCGCGCAUGUUUCAGGCUUAGCGCACGCUUCUGUUAGAUCGCGGGCUUAGCACGCGUGUUGCAGGCUUAGCGCGCGCUUCUGUUGGAUCAUGGGCUUAGCGCGUAACGCGCGCUCAGCGCACGUAUUGGACUGGGCCUGCUUCAGAUUUUCUUCUUUUCUUCAAUUUUUCUAGCCUUUUUGCUUGUUAUACCUUCAGUUUUUAUAUCUGCAGCCAAAAUUCAACAAAACAUCAAUUCUUUAAUAUUUAAGCGCAAAUAACUGCUAAAUAAUUAUUUUUAAAGACAAUUUUGCCUUAUUUUCUAUCAUCAAAAUACAAUUAUUUAGCAGUUAUCAGUUCGUGCUUAUAUAUCUGUUUUAUUCCCCUGUAAGAGUGCUGAUUUUCUUUUAAUUCUGUUGGCUGAUCAAUGCUCAUGUAUAUGUUUCUAAACUUGAAAGUAACGUGAUAUCCAUUCUUCACCUUAAAUUUGUAAGAGAAUAAUUUUCGUUGAUGUAUAUUUCUUUUGCCAGCUCUCCGUCAUUUUCGUUGAUGUAUAUUUCUUUUGCCAGCUUUUGAUAUAAAUUUUGUCAUAAUUGAACAAGAUUGAAUCAUUUAGAUAGAUAGAUAAUAGCAACAUAUUAUUUAGUAUCGUUCAUUUUCUUAAAAGAAAACUUGUGUAUACUUGUGAAAUGAAACAACGAAAUAAUAGUUGGUUCACUUUGAUUGUUUAAAAAAAAAAAAACUACAUGAAAUGAAUUACAUUAUGAGAAAGAACACAUACCUAAAAAAAGAGUAAAGUGAAAUUAAGUAGCUCAUUCAUGCCAUUAAGUAAAUUAUAAUAAUUUUUCUUAACUUAAGAACAAAUGCUACAAAUAAAUGUUGAGUUUAGAGACGAAACCAAUACCAAGUUGAAUAUGUUGGGGAGGAUUCUGCUGAACUCUCUCUUGACGUGAUUAAUGAAGUUUUUCUCUAUUUAUCAUUAUCCUAAUGUUCUUUGCACCGUCAAAUUUACUUUAACUGUGAUCUCUCACAUAAAAGAGCCUAAUCCUCCUAAUUUCAUUCUUGAUUCCUCAAUGAAUUCCGUCUAAGUGGGCCACAUUACAAAUUAGAUGCAAAUUAUACUAGAUUAGUUCACACUAUUCUUAGAAAUGAAGACUUCUAGAUGUUCUACCAAGUUCUAAGGACUAAAAGAAUUUCCCAACACUUCAAUCCUAACAAAGCAUAUAAAUGGAUAAUCAAGCCACAAAUAUUAAAGACAACCACAGAUAGAAGUAGAUAACACUAGCAAAUAAUAUUAAAUAGAUAGUUAGAGUUUUUGCAUCAAGAGUGUUGAGUGAAAAACUCUCCAACAAUGAAGUGUUUAGCCCUUCAUUAGCAUGGAGAGCUCAGUACAAGGCUAAAAAUAAGGUAGAAAUGGAAUGGUGAAGUAAAGAUAUGGAGAAAGCCGCUUGCUUUUCUUCCUUCAGCCUUGGUGCUCUGUUUUCGUCUCACCCACGCUGCAUGUGUUGUUUGGCUUCCCCCUCUCUUCCAGCUUUAAAGGCUUUUGGGCUUCUCAAAUUAUGAAUGUGCGUUUAGCGAGCAUGUCUCGCUGAGUGAGAGUUCGUGACUGGGUGCUUAGCGGAUGUGGAUGCGCUAAGCACGAGAAACGACAAAGGCAGUUACUGGGCAAGCUGGCUGCAGCUAAGCACAAUGCUCUUUGAAUUUACAUUCUCUAAGAGUUUUCUCUCACUGGGUGAGUUGGCUUCCUCGCUAAACAGAUUAGGCUCGCUUAGCUAAUCGCUAAACAAGCUCUUCAGCAUGCACUUCCAAAUCUUGCUUCCUUAAACCUGAAAAUCCAAAUGAUAAUAAUAUCAAUCAUCAAAAUGAAGCCUCCACCGUAUAAAACUCACACAAAAUCAAUUAUAUACAAAUCUCACGCAAGAAACCAUAAUACUAAUUAGAGUUACAUUGCCACUUUUCAUCUACUUUUCAAUACAUUUGGUACUCUUGAAUAACAAUUAUCAAUUUAUUUCUUUGGCUACUUCCUAUCCUUAUUUAUGCCACGUUUUUAAUUUCCAUUCAUAAAUUUAAAAACAACAAGCUAUCAGCCAUCCUAAGACAAUCCUUAUGCAGAAAAUGAAGAAGACAUUAUCUAGCUUAAAGAUAUUUGAUCCAAUAAAUUACACUAGUUAUUCUUGAGAUUUUGUGAAAUUUCACAAACUUUUCAUACUUUUUUUACCCCUACACUAACCCCUUAAUUAUUUCGAAAACAUUAUUCCGAUACCUUUUAUACAUUAUACUAAUCCACCUUAAUUGUUUGAAGAACAUUACACUGUGUUCGCUUAUAAAGAAAGUAGUUGUAAAUGUUAAAAAAACAAGAAAGACUUGUGCAAUUUCACGAAAUCUCAAAAAAUAUAUAUUGGUGUAAUUUAUUAUAUAUACUUGAUUUAAUUAAUUUAGAGAGGCAUAUAGAAGUAGAAGUAAACAGAAAUCUAUUUAUAUGCCCAACUCAAACUCAAUAAGAAUCCUAGGUAGGCAUUCUGCUUACAAGUAUGCAAAAUUUAACUUUCUCAACUGCUAUGAACAGUUGAUAUAGAUCAUAUAGGAGUAUGCCAGCUAAAUCCUAAGAAGUACACUUUCAAAAUUUAACUAAUUGAAGUUUUUCUGGUUCCUGAUCAAAUUAUUUAGCAUAACCAGCAGGAACCUGAUCAUCAUAGCAAUUAGAAGGGUAAAAGUUGAACCUGCAAAAGCAAAAAAGUGAAAGAUCUAAAUUUGUAUUGACUGAAAUAUUUAAAAUGGGUAAAUAACCAAUUUCCUAUAUGAAAGUGUAAAACAAUGUUAAUUUAAUUCCUAAAAGUAAUAAAAUGAAGGAAAGAAGAAAUCUCCUUACCGUAUCACUUUAGUUCCUAAACUUAAUACUUAUUGUCAUUUAAUCCAUGAAGCUAUGCUUAUAUUUUUAAGUCACACAACAUUUAGAAUUUUUGGACUAAAAUUGAAAUAUAUUAUUAAAUAAAUAUACAAAUAUAUUAUUAUAUUGUUUUAUAGUAGAACUUGUAAGGGAAAAUCUAAAACUAAACAAAAAGUAUAUUAAACAAUUUUUUUUUACUUUCUUUUAAUUACAAUGUAUAUAUAAGAUAUCUGUUGGUUUAUGUAAUUUUGAAAUCUAACUAUAAAAAUAUACAGCAAGAUAAAACUUGAAAGGUUAUAUAUAGAAAAUGCAUAAAGUCGUGAAAGAUGAAUAUAAAUGAGUCAAAAGUACAUGACGAAGAUAGGGUAAACACCGGUCAGUUGGGUUAAGUGAAUUUUUGACAACUGAAACCAAAAUAAUAAAAUAAAAAACAUGAAAAAAAUAAGAAAAAAGCUAUGGAAUUGCGUUUCCCAAAGGCUAUGGUUUGUAGCAACGAUGGGCUUUCUGAUGCAGAACUGCUGAGAUAAGGAUCAUCAAAUCGAAUAUCUUCCUCCAUACUGCUUUCUUUGAAUAUAUGGAUUCCACUUGCCUUAAUGAUUGAGCUCUCUAAGUCUAAGACACCUUCUUCUCUCUUUUCUUUUUCAUAGGCUAACACACUUUGAUAUCUAACCUCCACAUGGUUCCAUUCCUUUUCCCUAGCCAUUUCUUCAAACCGAUUAUUAUUUAUGAAAGCAGACGCUUGGAGAUCAAAGAUAUAUGUAUGAUCCAAGUUCAACCUACUUUUUAUCUCGUGUCUUCCAAAAUAGGGCCGAAUUUCUUGAAAUUUGCCAUUGAUGAACACCUUUGGAUUAAGGACAACAAUCCCAGUAGACACAGGUGCAAUAAGAAGACAAAGAAGUUUGGCAGGGAAUUUAUUACGAAACCAGAAAGAACUUGAAGGUCCACUGCUUUGCUGAUCGAACCACUCUGGUAUACUUGUUCCUGUAAACAUAAAAUUGGUUCCUCCAGCCUCAUGCAGUUUCUGUUAGUCAUCAUUCAUAAAGAAAUCAUAAGUUUAACAACAUUAGGUGCACUAUGCAUCAUCAAAUCCUGUACAGUAACAAAAAAGACAAUACCUGAUUUAAAAGCAUGUUUUUACUCGAGGAAGUCAAGGAUGCACAGUUUCUUGCAUCGAAAUACUCUAAGUUUGGUGGAAGACCUCUAAUUUCCUGAAGAUGCUCGCAAUCACUCACCAUAAGUGAUCUUAAUAAUUGCAAUUCUUUGAAGAAUUCAGGAAGGAUUGUGAAAUUAUUCCCCGACAGAUUUAAAUGUCCUACACGAGCAAAGGUCUUGAAACCUGUUAAAAAAAAAUCAUCACAUAGAUUGCAAUCCUUGGCCGAAAACCGAUGUGCCUUUGAAGAUGGUAUUGAGCCCACUUUUUUUUCACCUUCUUCCGAUUCUACCCAUUGCCACCUGUUGCAAUAUUCCAUAUGGAAUUCAAACAGUUCGGGCAUCAUCGCUAAGCUACAUGGUAACUUAACAAUUCCACAGCUCCUCAGGGUUAACCAACGGAGUCCAAUAAGAUUUUGAAAUGAAAAUGACAAUUCUUUUAUGGGAAGGCCAUACAAAAAAAGAUGCUUUAUGUUUUCCAUCUCUCCUAUUAUUUCUGGAAAAUAUUCAAGACUGGAACAUUGAGAAAGUUCAAGUGUUUGAAGAGAGGUCAAGUUGAGAGGCGGAAAACUCUUAAGCUUGCUGCAACCAUACGCACUCAAUUUUUUAAGUUUAUUCAGAAAACCAAUUGAGUCAUCAACUGCAACUAAACUCUCACACUCUUCAAAUGAAAGUUCCCUCAAAUUUGGGAGAUCAGAUACAUCAGGUAUCUGUGUUAAAAAUUUGCAGUUGUCAAACUUCAAAACUGUUAGAUGCCCGAACUUCUGCAAAGGAAAAAAAAAAAUAAAAUAAAUAAGAACCAAAUGAAUAAAUUUAAAGUGACUUUAUUAAUUCACGGGAUUCAGGAAACAGUCUCUUUGCAUAUGCAAGGGUAAGGCUGCGUACAACAUCUCUCCCCCAUACCUUCGCAUAGCGAAGAGCCUGUGGGCUACGAAGUUUAUUAAUUCACGGGAUGAGGAAAAUAUACUCUUUAAACUUGCCUUCGAUGGGCCAUGGAACUCAAACGACGUCAUACAACUGUCAGGUAACUUGCAUAUAACAAGAUUGUUCGGAUGAAAGUUAGAUGGUAAACAAUUUGAAGGAUAUCUGUGCCAUUCCAGUACUCUCAAACCUUCUGGAAAAUAAUUGGGACCUUUGGAAAAUUUGUCAUUUCUAAUAAUAAGUAUUUUAAGGUUUUCCAUCUUCAUGAAGGCGUUUUCAUUCCAUUCCACUGUUUCUUCUUUGUCAGAUAUGGAGGAAUCCAGGCAUAUGAUUUCAAUUUUACUAGUUCCCUGUUAAUACAAAAAGGCACGAAUCAACCACAAUACAACUUGUGUGAAAUAUCAAUUGACUCGCUUAGAGAAAUUACAAAUUAUCAAGAAAAAGAUAACUACAAUGUAACUUUGAGAUAGAAAAAAAAACAAAAAUCAACUAUUCAUGAGUUCACUCACGGUGUUGUCUUUAAAAACUUGAAUUAUAUCUUUUGGUAACCAUAAUCUCUUGCACUUCCCUGGCUCUUGUGGUGAUCUCUUCCGCUCAAUUUCUCUAGCCAUGUCCUGAAUCAAGUCGUGCAUUUCAACAGUAUCAGUACCAUAACAGUUAAGCUUUAUGAGAGAUUUUUCAACCAACACCCCAAUAUGAUGCUUCUUGCAGUUACCAUAAAGAGCACGGAGUAUAUCAUCAACCUCUGUCCAUUUAUACCCUCUGAAGCAACAAGCAAUGUCAAGAAAAACAUUCUUUUGUUCUUCCCCCAAAGCAUCAAAGCUUACUUUCAGAAUCUCUAGGAUUUCAUCACUGGGAAUUCUUUUAUAAUGUUCCAUAGCAGAUUCCCAUUCUGCUACAGUCUUUCCAAACAAGUUGGAACCUAUGACUUCCAAAGCCAAUGGAAGGCCAGAAGCAUAAGUUACUACACGAUUCAAGACGUCCUCAUAACUUGGAUCAAUUUUUUCUCUUUUAAAAGCAUUCCACUUAAGCAAUUGAAGAGCAGCACUCUGAUUUAAAACCUUCACCUCAUAGGUUCUUUCAACCUCAUGAUAUUUUAGCAGAUGUUUGUCCCGAGUGGUAAUGAUGACUCUGCUACCGGGACCAAACCAAUCAGGUCUUCCAACAAUAGCCUUUAAUUGCUCGCGCUUAUCAACAUCGUCUAAAAUCAAGAGAACCUUCUUUCGUUGGAGCCUAUGUUGUAUCAUUGAAGCUCCUUCUUGCCAACUUGUUAAGGUGAUGUCCUUCUCCCCAAGUAAUUUUGAAAGAAGGAUGCUUUGAAGGUGUUUUAACCCAUGUUUAUUUGAUUCUUCUCUCACAUUUUGAAGAAAACAGGAUUCAUCAAAAUGGAGAGCAAUCAAAUUAUAAACUGCCAGAGCAAGUGUUGUUUUUCCUAACCCGCCCAUUCCAUGGAUCCCUAUAAUGUGGACAACAUCAUGGGAUCCAACAUCCAAAAGCUUCCUUACCUCUAUCACUUGUGACCCUAGACCAACUGGAUAAUCCGCAACAUGUAAAGGAGCACGAUUAAUCUCCCUAGAAACCUGCUCAACAAUACUCUGGAUAAACUUGUAUUCAUAUGCAUCUCUGUUUCAAACAAACAAAAAAAGUUCUGAUGAAGUCAGCCAAAAAGGCUUGCAUCCAUGUAUAUUAAUUGUCAAGGUUAACAAGAGAAUUUCUUUUCUAUUUAAAUUUUACUAGUUAAAUCAAUAGACAAGUAAAACCUAAUCCAAUAAAAAUUAUAAAGUAAAAUAUAUUAGUAUGAUUGUAUACCCAUCUUUGAAAUGAUAUCCACACAAGUCAGCUACUUGUUUCAAAGCGAUCCUCCAUUUCUGCAGCUUCUCCUUCUUAGCUUUGAACCUCUUCUGAUGCUUAGCCAUUUCUACUCCAUAACUACCUUUCUGGUGUCUGACAUCAGAAGGAUCUACGUUGUAAAAGACCGGUAUAACCAACAGCCCUUCACUCUUGCAGUGAAGGAUGGUUACAAGUUCAUCUAAACAAAAUGAGGAAGAAGCAUAGUUUUUAGAAAGCACAGUAAUAGCAAUCCUGGACUCUUGAAUUGCCUUCAAAAGUGCAGGUGUUAUUUCCUCUCCUCUGUGAAGCUUCUUUUCGUCAAAGAAGGUAUGAAUUCCCUUGUCACAAAGAGCCCUGUACAGAUUGCCAGUGAAACCAUAGCGUGUGUCUCCCCCUCUGAAGUUUAGGAACACAUCGUAGAUGGAUGCACGGGAACGUGUUGUUGCAGCCAUUAUUUGAUGAAAAAAGUUUAGUAUGAUAAUGGUUGAUAUGGAGGGAGUGUAGAAUCAAACUUGAACAAACAUGAAAAUGAAAGUAUACCAAAUGUUAUAAAAGUCAAGCCAAGCUCUUAUAAAGAAAGAUGCUCUCACUUUUUUUUCAUUUUAAAACCUACUUUUUAUAAUCAAAUUAUUACAAAUAAACAAUAAAAGUAUUUUUAAUAAUGGGUACUGUAUUUCAAAUAAUUAACUGGUGGUACUACUAAUUCUCCCGCCCCAAAAGGAAUUGUUAAUUAGAGAAUCAAAAUAUAUAUUAACUAAUAAGUAAUCUGAUAAUUUUUAAUCACAAGAGCUUCAAAAUUUAUAUAUAUAUAUAUAUAUAUAUAUAUAUAUAAAUUUCUCAUUGAAAGAGUUUUAUAAUUAUCUUGAUAAUUUUGCUGAAGACACCCACGCAUAAGAUGUUUUACUUUAAGUCAGAUGUAUUUCUUCGAAAAGUAAUAGAAGUUAAUUUUGUAUAAUAAAAAUCAUGUGAAAAUAUGAAAAAUGUUAACCAAUAAUUUAGGACAUUAAUUGAUUAAAAAAUAAAAAAAAUGAAAAAUAUCAAAUACGAUAUACUUUUUUUUGUAAUUUUCAAUGAAACUUAUUAUUUUCGUAACGCAAUUUUAAUUUUGGUGGGUCAAAUUAGAUUUUACAUAUUUUAUUUUUAUCUUUACUUCCCAAUUUAUAAUAAAUUUUUAAUCAAAUUUAAAGAUUAAUACACUGAAUAAGUGGUUUGCCAAACUGCUUGUUUUUUUUUUUUUAGCAAGAAGGCAUUCCUGAUACUCUUCUUGAUGCAUAUUAAUAGUAUUCUUUACGUCAUCAAAAAUAAAAUAUACUGAAUAAUAUUUUUCAAUUUAUCUUUCAUUGUAUUCAAACUUCUUUCUCAUUAUAGCCGACUUUUCUACGCAUGAAUAUUGCCAUCCUAAAAAAGGAAUAAUAUUCAUAUUCGUUUUAAUUUUAAAUUAAACAGCCGCGUUUCAUUUGCUUCUCUGACUAAAAGGCAGAAAAACAAACGUGUAGACCUUAAAAUAUUGAUGACUUAUAAAAUAUUUAAAAAAUAAAAAAAGGCUGAGAUAACAUUUAUGAGAAAAUAAAAAUGUGUUAAAAACUCAAUUUAGGUGGCUGAACAUGUAUGAAAAAUAUAUAUUGAGAGAAUUAAUAUUUAUAAAAGUCUAAAUAAAACUUGUGAAUUUAUUUAAAAAUAGAUUUUAUGUCAUUAAGUUGUUGGUACAAAAUAAUUUUAGUUACCUUUGUCAAAAAAUUUAGUUAAUCAUUUUUAAUAAGAACUGACAUUUUAAUUAUAUUUUUUUAUCUAUAAAUUAAAAUUUGAAAUUGAGAUUUUAUUUAAGGAGUUCUAGUCAACUUUUGCUUGAACAAAUCACAUUAUUUGAUGAAAAUAAUUUAAUUAUUAAAGGUGGAAAGAAACAAAAAAUAUAAAAAUAAAAUUAUUAUAAAAUAUUUAAAAGUAAAUAAAUAAUGUCUAUUAACAUAAUCUAUUGAAAAGAAGAUACAAUUAGUAAAAAAAAAAAAAAAAAAAGAGCCAAAUAGGGAUGGCAAGGUCUUCUCCAUAUUAGAAAAUCAAUCUGGGAUAAGACAGAGUAUAUUACCUUUUUUAUCUUCUAUAUGUGCUAACAAAACAUCAACAGCAAAAAUAUAGAAUAGCUUAUAAUGAUUUAUAUCCUCUAAACGUCUCUUUAUUUAACUUGUCCAUCAGUAGAAUCAUCAUUUUCAAUUAUUGACACACACACACGGCUUACAAAUCAGAAUAAGGUACAACAUCCAUUCCGCUGAAUAAACAUAGAAUUAAUACAAAUUAACCUAUAUACAAAUAGAUUGCGACAUAUAUACUCGCUUAUAUUUUUAAAAAAUAACAUGCAAAGCUCUCAUAGCCUCUUAACUGGUGCCAUACUUAGCCUUGUAGUCUUGCCAAAGCUGAUAAACUGCUUUUCCCAGUAACUGAACAAAGAGUUGAUCACUGUAACCAUCCCUCAUCUGCUAAUAGUCAAGAAAAUGAGCAGUAACAUCAUAACCCUGGUCCCAUUUCACUGAACUAAAGAUUUAUACCAAUGAAUCACACAAGGAAAUUUAACACUACAUUUUAAUUCAAAACUUCAAAGAUUAGGUUUAUGAAUCUUUUACUCAUUUUAUAUGUUUUUUUUCUCACUUCUAUGAGAUUUGGAAUUGCACCUCAUACUUACUCCAAUACAACAGAAGGUGAGAAGUAAGCCAUUUGGCGCCAGAAUAGACUAGCUAGACAACUUCCAUUUGAUUGGUUUUGGUAAAUAGUCAAAAUCAAAAAUAGAUAUGAUCAGCCUGCAUUUUAUUCUGGUUGACUAUUUGAACUUAGGCCAACGGACAAUGUUGUUUCAAUCUAGCUACUCUCGUGAAUGGGAUAAAAAUCAAGUGAAGUUAUUUCGGGGCUACAUAUUAUAUAUUUAUAUAUAUAUCAUACCACAUAUCUCUAGACGCCCAUCUUGCCGCGUCUAGUGUCAAUCUUCCAUGACCAUGUCCACUUUCUCCCUCGAAAGCACGGAACUGAGAAAUUAAGAUAAUAUGAUACAUUAAGGGAUGUUUGGUAGAAGAGAAAUACUUUCAUAAAUUUUGGGACUCAUAUUUUGUAGAAAUGAAUAAAAUUUAUUUGGAUGAUUUUUAAAAUAUUAUAUAAUUUUUUUAGAAAUCAAAGAAUUAUAUAUAUUUUUAUCGAUUAUUUUAAUUAUUUAUCACAUUAUAUAAUUUAAUAUAACAUAACAAGAUAUUUUUAUCAUAAUAAAAAAAUUAAACUUGAAGAAAAAGUAAAAUUCUCACUUUUUGUUAUUGGAGAAUUUUCGUGAGAAACUAAUUAAAAAAUAUUUUUAGAAAACAUUAUUUAGGAAUGCAAUUUUUUAAAAAAUGUAUACUAAAAUGAGAAAUUAAGUUUUUCAUCUUAUGAUUAUCAGAAAAUUAAAAAUUUAUCUUCUACCAAAUACUAAAAAAAAAUGAUCCGUACUUAUUACUACUUACAAACAUUUUUACUUAUGGAACCGCGGACAUGAUUAUUUUAGGUAAAACUGGAAAAAAAAAACUUCCACCAACAAUUAUUUGAUAUAGUUAGGUAAACUCUUGACAAACCCUUUCAUGUAAAUGGCGUUACCUUUGCUCUUAAACACAAUUGUCUUGUUUCUUUGGAAAUAUUUCUACUAUGCUCUUUUAGACCAUGGGGAAAAUACUGACUUUGUAUGCUUAAUUGUUUGGAAAAUUUUAGGUGUUAAUGCUAUAAAAUGACAACUAGUUGGGUGCAGUAGGAAUUGAUGGAAAUUCUGUUCUUAGUUAAAGAAAAGUAGCACUUGAGUAGUGACAUUCUUUAAAAAUAAAAAUAUGUAGACAAUUGUUUGUGUUCUGAAAUCAACAGAGUUUUUGAUAAAUAGUAACAGUUUUUAUAUUAAUCCAGCAGGAGCACGACCAUCCCCAUUCCACUGCCAAACGUGCACCAUUUCAUGGUACAGCACACUUGUUAUCUCUGUUUUCACGUCCCCUUUUAUUGUUUCCAUGCAUGUCAUCAACGAAUAAGCUUACCUUCUGCACAUUUUUUCUGUCAGAAGGGUUGCUUUGCUGAAAGAUCCUCCAUAUGAAUUGGGUGGCGGAGUCAAGUGUUGGCUUGGCGUAUUCAGCUCCUAUUAAAAGAGGCAAAGGGUGGGGUCAAUCUUAUUAGGCUCAGGUUUAAAUUUAAUAGAAUUAUUAUGAAUAAUAAUUUUUUUAAAGUAUUUAAUGUAAUUAUAUUUAGAAUUAGAAUAUAAAACAUCAUAAGCUGGAACAAUUAUAAAAUAAAUUUUUAGUACCUAGAAGUUUAUUACUCGAAUUUUUAAAUUUUAGAAUGUAAAAGUUAAAAUUUUAACCUUGUUUUUAUCAUAAAUAAUACCAGAAUAAGAUUAAAAAACAAGAUUAAAAAGUAAAAUGAAAUAAAUAAUGCAAAUUUAAUUUUUUUUAGCAUAGGUGGAGCGGUAAAGUUGUGCCUUGGUGACUUGUUGGUCAUGGGUUCGAGUUUGCAUAUGUAAGGGUAAGGCUGCGUACAACAUCCCUCCCUCAUACCUUCGCAUAGCGAAGAGCCUCUCGGCAAUAAGAUACGAAGUUUUUUUAUAACGAAUUGCUAAGAAUGCAAAACGUGAUUUUUGGAUGCAUGAACUGGAUUCGAAGGUGACUCUUUAGUGUAAAGUUUUGGGCUAUCUAAUACAUAAAUUAUAAUAAAAAAUAAUAACACUCGAUUAUAUGUUAUCUGAAGAAGUUUAUUUACUAUUUUUUAAAUUUAUUUUUUAGCUUCAAUUUAAUCUUCUUAUUUUUAAAAAGUGUGAUUUAGUUUUUUAAUUUAGUGUAUUUAUUUUUAAAGGUUUCAAUUAAUUACUUUAUUUUUUAAAAAAUAGAUUCACUUCUGAUUCCAUUUAAAAUCAAGAUUGGUUUCAUUUUUUGGAAAUGUUGGAAGGUGGCGGAAAGAAAAAGCAACCAAAUUAAACGUGUUUUUAAAAAAUAAAGGACAUGAUUAAACUUUUAUAAAAAAAAAAAAUAGAGGAAUCAAAUUAAAUUUAAAUAAAACUCUCCAUUCCACUAUUGGAACUUGUAAUAGCAGGCCAUUAAGAGCUGAUACAAUAUUGACAUUGAAAGACAUUGCCAUAUAUAAAAUCGCGUAUUCUUUAAACUAAAAGCUAUUAUUUAGCAUCUUAGGCUAUAUUGCCAUACAUGGCCUUAUAGUCUCGCCAGAGAUGAUUAACUGGUUUUGCCAGUAACAGAAAGAAGAACUCAUCGCUAUAAUCAGUCCUCAUCCACUGGUUAAGUUGACCCACAAACCCACUUUUGAGAGAAUCACAAUAAUCCAAAAAAUGAGCAGUAAUUUCAUAACCCUCAUUCCAUUUCUGUCCUUGCCCUGGUUUUCUCCAAUGACUGGCUGCAUAGUUUGCCUUCAGCCUCACAAAAUCUGCAAUACCUCCAGUUAAUCCACCAGGAGCCUUGCCAUUCCCCUUCCACUGCCAAACGUAGCAAACUUGAUGAAACAGCACCCCUGUGAUCUCUCUUUUCACAUCCCCACCACUAUACCCAUUAACAUAUCUUGCACUCACGUGAAUCUCGUUCUUCCUAGUGUAUGCAAUCCCGUCCAUGUCAUCCACGAAUAAGCUCACCUUCUGCACGCUUUUUCUGUCAGAAGGGUUGUUUUGCUGAAAGAUCUCCCAUAUGAAUUGGGUGGCCGAGUCAAGUGUUUGGUUUGCGUAUUCAGCUCCUAUUUUGUCACGGAAUCUCACACCACCGAGGGUUGUCAGUGCAUUGUUUAUUACUGUGAACGUAUAUCCCUGUCUUUCCCGUAUUGUAACAUCAAAGCUUAGUUUUGGACUCUCUAGGAUUUCAUCCCUGGGAAUUGUUUUGUAAUGUUCCACAGCAUAUUCCCAUUCUGCUACUGUUUUACCAAACAAGUUGGAACCUAUGGCUUCCAAAGCCCGUGGAAGGCCUGAAGCAUAAGCUACCACACGAUUCAAGACGUCCUCAUAACAUGGAUCAAUUUUUUCACUUUUGAAAGCAUUCCACGUAAGCAAUUGAAGAGCAGCAUUCUGAUUCAAAACCUUCACCUCAUAAGUUCUUUCAACGCCAUGAUAUUUUAGCAGAUGUUUGUCCCGAGUGGUAAUGAUGACUCUGCUACCGGGACCAAAGCAAUUAGGGCUUCCAACAAUAGCCUUUAAUUGCUCUUGCUCGUCAGCGUCGUCUAAAAUCAAGAGAACCUUCUUUUGUCGGAGCCUACGUUGUAUCAUUGAAGCUCCAUCUUGCCAACUUGUUAAGGUGAUGUCCUUCUCACCAAGUAAUUUUAAAAGAAGGAUGCUUUGGAGGUGUUUUAACCCAUGUUUAUUUGAUUCUUCUCUCACGUUUUGAAGAAAACAUGAUUCGUCAAAAUGGAGAGCAAUCAAAUUAUAAACAGCUAGAGCAAGGGUUGUUUUUCCUAACCCACGCAUCCCAUGUAUCCCUAUGAUGUGGACAACAUCAUCGGAUCCUACAUCCAAAAGCUUCCUUACCUCUAUCACUUGUGACUCUAAAUCAACUGGAUAAUCCGCAACAUGUAAAGAAGCAUGAUUGAUCUUCCUAGAGACCUCCUCCACAAUAUUCCCAAUAAACUUGUAUUCAUAUGAAUCUCUGUUUCAAACAAACAAAAAAAGUUCUAAUGAAGUCAACCCAAAAGCCUUGCAUCCAUGUCUUGGUAGGUAUAUUAAUUGUCAAGGUUAACAAGAGCAUUUCUUUUCUAUUUAAAUUUUACUGCUUAAAUCAAAGACAAGUAAAACCUAAUCCUAUAAAAACCAUAAAGUAAAAUAUAUUAGUAUGAUUGUAUACCCAUCUUUGAAAUGAUAGCCAGACAAGUCAGCUACUUGUUGCAAAGCCAUCCUCCAUUCCCGCAGCUUCUCCAUCUUAGAUUCGAACCUUUUCUGAUGCUUAGUCAUUGUUUCUCCAUAACUACCUUUUUGGUGUCUGACAUCAGAAGGAUCUACUUUGUAAAAGACCGGUAUAACCAACAGCCCUUCACUCUUGCAGUGAAGGAUGGUUACAAGUUCAUCUAAACAAAAUGAGGAAAAAGCAUAGUUUUCAGAAAGCACAGUAAUAGCAAUCCUGGACUCGUUAAUUGCGUUGGAGAGUGCAGGUGUUAUUUUGUCUCCUCUCGGAAGCUCCUGAUCAUCAAUGAAAGUGUAGAUUCCCCUGUCACCAAGAGCUUUGUAGAGGUUGCCAGUGAAACCAUUGCGUGUGUCUAAACCUCUGAAGCUGAGGAACACAUCGUAGAUGGAUGCAAGGGAACGUGUUGUCGCAGCCAUUAUCAGAAUAAAAAAAUUUUAGUAUGGUAAUGGUUGAUAUGAUAGGAGUGUAGAAUCAAACUUGAACAAAUAUGAAGAUGAAAGUAUACCAAAUGUUAUAAAAGUCAAGUCAAGCUCUUGUUAUCCAUCAAUAAAUUUAGUAUGGAAAUGGUUGAUAUGAUAGGAGUGUAGAAUCAAACUUGAACAAUUAUAAAGAUGAAAGUAUAGCAAAUGUUAUAAAAGUCAGUAAGCUCUUAUUAUCCAUCAAUAAAUUUAAUAAAUAUUUUAUAUUAAUGUCACGAUAAAGAAUAUCUUUAAUAUAAACUUAAUUCCUAAUUAACUACCUACAAGUUAUGAGACUAGUUGUAAAAAAAUUAUAUUUUAUAAUCAGAUCAUUUACAAACUAAGCAUUUUCUUUUGUAGAAGUAUAAAAUUAUUUUUAAUAUUUGCUAAUGUAUUUAAAAUAAUUAACUGGUGGUACUAAAUUUCAAUUUCUCCCCGUCCCCCAUUAAAAUUGUUAGACGUAAAAAAUUAGUAAAUUUCACAAAUUCUGUGAGCUGCGAUCAAUGUGCAAGAGCACAUUCUUUCAACUCCAAGUUCAAGGCUAUAUUCGGAAAUUUAGCUCUCAAAAAGGAAACCAAAUUCAAAAUUAUGAUUCAUUUAACUUUCCAUAGGAUGAGAACUAGAUGUUUGUUCCAAAGCAAAGGACGUUUAGAUAAAUAAAUCUAAGUUGGUGGAAAUUAAUUUAAAACUGAAUUACAAUUUUAGUUUUCAAACAAUAUUUUCAGAUCGAAUUCAAUUUUUACAUCCUAUUAAUAUAAAAAAAUUAUCCUACCAAUUCAUCAGAAAUAAAAGUAGACGUGACUUGUGAAGUGGUUAAUAUUUCAAUAAUUAAUUAUAUACAUAUUUAAUUAUUAUUAUUAUAAUUAAUUAUAGAAAUAAGUUUUGUAUCUAAAAUUGUUAAAUAAAAUACUACUUUAAAAUAAUUUAUUUUAUUUAAAUAGUUUUAAAAAUACUUUUAGUAUGAAAUUUUUUAUUAUAAAUAUAAAUUUAUUAGUUCCUGAUAACAAAAAACGGUUAUUAAUUCCUUUUUAAAAAACAUAAAGUUAUUAAUCACCUACUAUUGUGACCAUAAAAUUUCUGAUAACAAAUCACAUGUGCCCAUGCCAAGUUGCCAACUCCAAUCCAACCAUUGUUCUUUAGGUCAAAGUCCAAGAACAUGAGCUGAAUGGGUUACCAAUUUAAAAAUAACGCAUCCCCCCUCUGAAUGUGAGAUAUACCACUUGUUACUUUGGUCUCCUGGCGUCAUUGUCAAGAUGUUUUCAAACUCAACACUGAUUGAAGCUCCUUGGGGAAUCAGUCCUGAUCCUUUGGGUUAGGUUGACAUUUUCAGUGAUUUCUCUUGGGAAAUGGUUGGUUUGCUUUUCUGGUUUGUGUACAUGUUGCUAUGCAAACAUUGAUGCUUAACUCUUUGCCAUCUUUCAUGAUCUCAAUGUAGCUCCGAGCUCCGGUUAUUGUUAUUGGCAUUGGCAUUAAUUACAUACUUAUGACAUUCUUUAUCUCAACAUUAUUAUAAAUAAAUAAAACAUAAAAAUAUUGAUCAUCAAAUUUAUGCAGUUAAAAGAUUCACAUUUAUUUUAGUAUUAUCAAAUAAGACUUAUUAAAAAAUAAUCAUCUCAAAAUAAGGCCGUCAAAAUUUACAAAAAAUAUUUUUUUAAAUUAAUGAGGUAAAAUAAUCGCCUACAUGCAAUGUGGUGUCAUGUAAGUAAAAAACCACUCUGAGACAUUUAGGAAUACAUAACAAGACACACCACACAAUGAGUAUGUUAGGUCACUAUCACUAAGUAAAAUCAUAAGGUGACCAGCCAGUGUUACUCUGUUUUGCGAGAAUAUUCCAACCAUAUGAGAUCAAUUUAAACUUAAAGAAGUACUCAAAUCGAAUGGUUUUACCCUCAAGGUCUAGACUCCCAAGAAUCCGUUAGGGUCUCACCUUCCUAAUUCAGGUCCAACCCUUCAAACAAUUUUUGCAAGCAGAUACUGCUCAUGAAUUAUAUAAUACCCAUGAACUCACACUUGUGUUUUAAACACGUUUAACAUAUUGCGCUACAAUUUAACACUAAUUCCUAACUAGAAAACCUACUUUCUCCCUUUAACAUUGUGCAUCAAUAUUUUUCUCAAGAUAAACACUGGUCGGGUAAUUGUAUAAUUCACAACUCAAAACACAAGUAAUGUCACAUCAAGUGUUAACCACACACUUAUGCACAACUAACACAACUAAAACUUAUGUUUACAACUUCACAUCUCAUUAUGUCACAAUCAACCAUCUCAUGUUUAUAUGUAUCUCGCAAUUUAACACAUUCAACUUUACACUUAUACUCAAUCCCCAUAACAAUAUAAUAAUUUCAAAGUAAUAUAUUAUUCUACAACUCAUCAUAUACUCAAUUUAUCAAUUAUAUACAAUUUUAAUUACAAUUUCAUAAUUUUGAUAUAACUAUUUGGUACACUAAUCUUAUUCAAAAAACAAAUAAAUUAUACAAAAAUAUUUCUCAAUUCACGGGGAGUAAAUUAUACAAAUAAAUUAUACAAAAAUAUUUAAAAAAACUAUAUUUAUUUUAUUUUAUAAAUAAGUACAAAAAUGUCACAAUAUUUUUCUCUAUUUUUAAAUAUUUAUGAAAAUGAAAAGUAAGAUAUAAUAUGUAAAGCAUAUAUUGCUAUUUUGGACUUUUUUUGGGGGGAUGUUGUUACCAUGACUAUCCACUUUCUCCCUCGAAAGACAAGGCAUCCAAUUUUAAUAUGAUACAUUAAGGGAUGUUUGGUAGAAGAAAAAUACUUUCUGUUAUGGUUCGCGUCAGGGAUGGGGUAGAGGAAGGAGAUGAAAACGCAGAAUGUUCACAAGCCCUUAUUCGAGAAAGGGGAAAACUCCUUUAUUUCUUGAAGGAUAAUGUUCUUACAUUCUACGAUUAUACAUGUUCAGUAUUUAAAGUGAUUCUACGUAACUGCCUAACAAAUUCAGUUACGUCUAACGGUAUCGGGUUCGAGUAGAAUACGUGGUCCAAGCUUUCGAAAAUUAAGCACGUGUGGUGUAAGCUUGCCCUAACUACCCCUGGUUAUGUUUGGGCCUUUAUGGAGAGCCAUGCAGGUUGGCAACGUGAUAAUCCUUCAGGUGAAAUGGUGCGGACCUGACUCGUGCUGGUCUGAGUCGUGACUGGGCCGAGUCACUAACAAUACCUCCUCCUUCCAAGUCCACCUUGUCCUCAAGGUGGUAAAGCUCGCGUAGGGAGGACCAUGGUUCCCACGAUGUGUCCUCUGGUGGUUCGCCUACCCACUGGGUGAGGACCAGUUGUGUGGGGGGGGGGGGGGUCCGUAGAGUCAUCGAGUUUUGUAUCUAGGAAGCAUAGUGGUCGUCGUAACGGUUCCUUAGAGAGAGUUCCGAGGGUCCAAGUGUCUGUGAGAGGGGGCUGGGGUCCAUGGUGAGCUCGGAGGAGCGAAGAGUGAAAAUCGGGGUGGAUCUGAGAAUGGGGUGGAAGACGCAGGCGGUAAGCCACAGAACCAAUGCGUUCUUCAAUCUGGAAGGGCCCAAAGAAUCGUUUGGAGAGCUUGGGGUGGUGGUGACCGGAAAUGGAGGUUUGACGGCCAGGGCGUAGCCGCACGUAGACCCAUUGUCCGACGGAAAAUGAAACAUCAUCACGCUUAGCAUCAGCAUAGUGUUUCAUUGUAAGUUGGGCCUUUUGUAAUUUCUUCUGAAGCCGGGAGUGUAGAGCUUGUCGUGACUCGAGCAAGGUCUGAGCAGCUUCAUUGUUGGUUGUAUUAGGAAGGUAGUCAUGUGCAACUGGUGGUGGUUUUCCAUAAAUGAUCUCGAACGGUGUUGAGCCUAUGCUGGAGUGCAGAGACGUGUUAUAACACCACUCUGCAAGGGCCAAGUAAUUGAACCAGGCCGUGGUUUGGGAGUGGACAAAGCAUCAGAGGUAUUGCUCGAGAACUCUAUUCAUUACUUCCGUCUGCACGUCCGAUUGGGGGUGAUAGGCCGUGCUGAGACGCAAUUGAGUGCCGGAAAGUCUAAACAGUUCACGCCAAAAGUUGCUUAAGAAAAUUGGAUCGCGAUCGGACACGAUGCUCUUUGGGAAGCCAUGUAAUUUACAGACAAUUUGCAGGACGAGGUUAGCUACUUUGAAGGCAGUGAAACUAGUUGGUAAAGCACCUAAGUGUACCCCUUUAGAGUAUCUAUCUACGACAACAAAUAUGACUGUGAAGCCAUUAGAGGGAGGAAGGUGUGUAAUGAAAUCCAUAGACAGGUCUUCCCAGACCCCCGUAGGUAAUGGCAGUGGCUGCAGAAGGCCUGUCGGGCGCUUGGAGGAGUUCUUAUUUUGUUGGCACACUGAGCACUCCUUGAUGAAGCGACGAACAUCGUGCUUGAGGUUGGUCCAGAAGAAAUUGGAUUGGACUCGAUGGGUUGUCUUCGCAACUCCGAGGUGGCCACCUAACGGGGUUGUGUGGUACUCUGAUAGUAGACUGGGAAUGCAGGGAUUGUUGCUAUUUAACCAUAUUCGACCCUGGAACAAUACGAGAUUGUUGCAGAGGGUAUAGCCAGGGUGGUUUGCUGGGUUGGACUGUAUCGAAUGCAUGAGUUGCUGAAAUUCCGGGAGGGACUCCAAUGACUUUCGAAUGUCAUUGAGGAAGUCCAGCUGGGGAACUGAGAGGAUUAAGAGCUGGCCGGUGGAUGAGGGGGGUCGAGAAAGAGCGUCGGCAACCACGUUGGAAGAUCCAGCUUUAUAUUGUAUGGAGUAAUCAUAACCUAAUAAUUUGGAGAGAUAAUAAUGCUGCUCCGGGGUUUGUAUUAUUUGCGUCAUGAGCUCGCGAAUGCUUUUGUGGUCCGUGAGGAUCGUGAAUGGGCGUCCUAAGAGAUAUUGUCGCCAUUUUCUAACAGCUGCGACAAUGGCAUGGAGUUCACGAAUGUAUGUUGAAGCUUGGGUCAAACAAGGGGUGAGACUCUUGCUGAAAUAUGCCAAAGGAUGUCCACUCUGUGUGAGGACUGCUCCGAUAGCGGUUGCUGAUGCAUCAGUUUCAAUCACGAAGGGAGUGGAGAAGUUGGGUAGGGCUAACACGGGGGCGUUUGUCAUGGCGAAUUUGAGCUGGGAAAAGGCCUCCUGAGAUUCUGAGGUCCAGGUGAAUGCAUCCUUGCAGAGUAAGCUCGUGAGGGGAGCUGCGAUGGUGGCGUACCCCUUUAUAAACUUUCUGUAGAAUCCGGUGAGGCCUAAAAAUGCUCGGAGUUCCUUGGCGGUCCUCGGGUUUGGCCAUUGCACCAUAGCUUGGAUCUUCGAAGGUUCUGGAGUAACUCCCUUGCCGGAAACAACAUGCCCGAGGUAUUCAAUGGUCUCUUGGGCAAACGAGCACUUGGAUUGCUUGAGAUAGAACUCACCAUGCUGUAGAGUUUCGAAGAUAGUUUCCAGAUGUUGAAGGUGAGAUGACAGCGAGCUGCUAUAAACUAGAAUGUCAUCGAAGAACACUGUUACAAAUCUGCGUAAAAAUGGUUGCAACAGGUUGUUCAUGGCCGAUUGAAAGGUGGAUGGGGCAUUGCUGAGCUCGAAGGGCAUAACCAGAUAUUCGAAAUGGCCAUUAUGCGUCCGAAACGCUGUUUUCUCCACAUCUUCUUCGUGCAUCAGGAUUUGGUGAAAUCCUUGCCGGAGAUCGAGCUUGGAGAACUAGGUGGCCUGUCCUAGCUUGUCGAGGAGCUCGUCGAUCGUUGGUAUAGGAAAACGAUCUCGAAUGGUAACUGUGUUGAGCGCCCUGUAGUCCACACACAGUCUCCAUGUGCCGUCUUUCUUCUUAACGAGGAGGACCGGCGAGGAGUAGGGACUGAGACUGGGGCGAAUGAGGCCGGCGGAAAGCAACUCAGAAACUUGUUUCUCAAUUUCAUUCUUUUGGAAGUGUGGGUACCUGUAAGGCCUCACGUUUAUCGGGGCUGUGGAAGGGGCUAAUGUAAUUCGGUGAACCACUUGUCGUGGUGGGGGUAGUCUGGAUGGGGACUGAAAUAGGUGGUUAUAACGGAGAAGAAGGUGCUGGAUGGAGGGAAGAGGGUGUUGGGCCGGGGCGGUUUCGGUUCGGGUAACGGGCUGAACACUCAGUUGGUAAAAGGCCGAGGUGGAGCCGGUUUGAAGGAACUGUUUCAGUUGGGUUGCGGAAACGGGUUCAGGCCCACAUGUAGCGUCUGCUGCUAAAGACACCUCCUGACCCUGGUGUGUAAAGUUCAUGAUACCAGAUGUGUAGUCUGUCGUUAUCGGGCCCAACUUCUUCAGCCAGUCGAUGCCUAGGACCGCAUCAGCUCCAUUGAUUUGCAGGAGGUGGAAUGAUACGAGGAAUUGGUGGCCUUGGACGGUGACUAAUGUCUCUGAGCAAACCUGGUUACAAUCUAAGGUGGAACCGUUGCCCACUAAGACUUGGAGGGACCGAGUUGCUUGGACUGGUAGCUUCAGGAAUUGAGCGAUGCGCGGUUGAAGGAAGUUAUGCGUACUUCUGCUAUCAAUCAAAAUGGUUAACUGCGUGUUCUUGAUGGUGCCAUAGAGCCGAAAGGUGUCUGUGGAUGGUAAUCCUGACAACGCAUGAAGGCUGAUAUGUGAACAAGUCGAAUCUGGUGAGGGCUCGGGUUUGUCAUCAAUGGCAGAAGGUGGUGUCUGUUCGAGCUCGAGUAUGCUUUCUUCAGUGGUGGAGGUUUGUUCAUCAGCAAUGAGGAGCAUGACGCGUCCUUUACAACGAUGAUUAGUGCUCCACUUCUCGUCACAAUUGUAACAUAGUCCUCUUUCUCGUCGGAAAGCGAUCUCGGCCGGAGUUCGUUGCACAAAUGGAGGUUUUGCUUUAAUGGUGGGAUUGGGAUUGAAGGGCGGCGAGGGUUUAGGUGGAAAUGGAUUGCGUGGGGCCAAUACCGCUUUAUCUCGAAGCUUCUAUUCUUGAAGCUUGGCAAGGGCAGUAGCUUGCAGGAGCGAAAUAGGUUGAAGGGCCAUUACCUCACGGCGAACCUCUGGGCAUAAUCCUAAAAUGAAACAGCUUAAAAGAAAUGGGGGAGGAAGGCCUACCACUCGGUUUGCAAGACGUUCGAAUUCCGUUAGGUAGUCAUUAACUGUUCCCUUCUGCGUUAACUUGAAUAGUGCCCCCUUGGGGUCCUCGUAAAACGUUGGUGCGAAGCGCGACUCAAGGGCUUCGAGGAAGCUUUCCCAGGAGGUGAUCAGUCCAUUGCUGAACAUCCACUGAUACCAACUCAGUGCUGUUCCGUCGAGAUACAGGGAGGCGACUGUGACUCGCUCUUCUUCAGGCGUGUUGUGGUAUUGAAAAAGUUGCGUAAGCUUGAAAAUCCAGCCUAAGGGGUCACGGCCAUCGAAACGAGGGAUGUCUAUUUUAACUGAGUUUCGUGGAUGAUUUUGAUGAUUUGCGGUGUUGGUGGCGUUCCGGCCGGAGUCGUGGAGGCGAAGGUGGUCGAGGAUGGCAUCAACUUUGCCGGAAAGGUCUGUGUAUCGGUCUGUAAGUGAGGCCUGGCUAUUGUUAAGACGGGUAAUUGCCUCUUCAAGGCAGUCAGUGGUGGUUUUUCUGGUUCCGUGAUCGGCCAUGGCAAUGGCGGCGCCGGCAGGUCAGACCAGUUGUUAUGGUUCGCGUCAGGGAUGGGGUAGAGGAAGGAGAUGAAAGCGCAGAAUGUUCACAAGCCCUUAUUCGAGAAAGGGGAAAACUCCUUUAUUUCUUGAAGGAUAAUGUUCUUACAUCCUACGAUUAUACAUGUUCAGUAUUUAAAGUGAUUCUACGUAACUGCCUAACAAAUUCAGUUACGUCUAACGGUAUCGGGUUCGAGUAGAACACGUGGUCCAAGCUUUCGAAAAUUAAGCACGUGUGGUGUAAGCUUGCCCUAACUACCCCUGGUUAUGUUUGGGCCUUUAUGGAGAGCCAUGCAGGUUGGCAACGUGAUAAUCCUUCAGGUGAAAUGGUGCGGACCUGACUCGUGCUGGUCUGAGUCGUGACUGGGCCGAGUCACUAACACUUUCCGAUCAUGAAUUUUGGGACUCAUAUUUUGUCACGGAAAGCCACGCCGCCAGGAGUUGAGAGUGCGUUGUUAGUGACAGUGUAUUCAACUGCAUGCAUGUGUUGCAUGUACUGCAGAUAGGAAUACUAAGAAACAAAGUGCAUAGGAUUGGGUCCAUUCGGUGCUUGCUUUAUGUAGAAAACGUAUAAGAUCCUUCCUUUCAAGUUUCCACGACUGCCAUUAAUGUUUGUAAACAUUGAAUGCUUGGUUGUUCCGGUUGGUACGUAACUCAAUUUUGAAUUUUCAGAAAACUGGGGUGUCUAUGGUCAAGUCUUUUUCUAGAAAUGACAAACAGGCAAAGGGUGGGGUCAAUCUUAUUAGGCUCAAGUUUAACUUUAAUAGAACUAUUAUGAAUAAUAUUUUUUUUGAAAGUAUUUAAUGUAAUUAUAUUUAAAAUUAGAAUAUAAUUAAAACUUCAUAAGCUGGAACAAUUAUAAAAUAAAUUUUUAGUACCUAGAAGUUUAUUACUCGAAAAUUUAAAAUUUUAGAAUGUAAAAGUUAAAAUUUUAACCUUGUUUUUAUCAUAAAUAAUACCAGAAUAAGAUUAAAAAAACAAGAUUAAAAAGUAAACGAAUUUCUAAGGAUGCAAAAUGUGAUUUUGGGAUGCAUGAACUGGAUUCGAAAGUGACUCUUUAGUCAAAAGUUUUGGGCUAUCUAAUACAUAAAUUAUAAUAAAAAAAUAAUAACACUCUAUUAUAUGUUAUCUAAAGAAGUUUAAUUACUAUUUUUUAGCUUCAAUGUAAUCUUCUUAUUUUUAAAAGGCGUAAUUUAGUUUUUUAAUUUAUUUAUUGAGUUUAAUUUAGUCUAUUUAUUUUUAAAGGUUUCAAUUAAUUACUUUAUUUUUAAAAAAGUAGAUUCACUUCUGAUCCCAUUUAAAAUUAAGACUGGUUUCAUUUUUUGGAAAUGCUGGAAGCUGGCGGAAAGAAAAAGGAACCAAAUUAAACGUGUUUUUAAAAAAAUAAAGGAUAUGAAUAAACUUUUAUAAAAAAAUAGAGGAAUCAACUUAAAUUUAAAUAAAACUCUCCACUCCACCAUUGGAACUUGUAAUAGCAGGCCAUUAAGAGCUGAUACAAUAUUGAUAUUGAAAGACAUUACUGCGAUAUAUAUAAUCUCGUAUUCUUUAAACUAAAAGCUAUUAAUUAGCAUCUUAGGCUAGAUUGCCAUACUGGGCCUUAUAGUCUCGCCAGAGCUGAUCAACUGGCUUUCCCAGUAACUGAACGAAGAACUGAUCACUAUAACCAGUCCUCAUCAACUGGUUAAGUUGAGCCACAAACCCACUUUUGAGAGAAUCACAAUAAUCCAAAAAAUGAGCAGUAAUAUCAUAACCCUCAUCCCAUCUCUGUCCUUGCCCUGGUUUUCUCCAAUGACUGGCUGCAUAGUUUGCCUUCAGCCUCACAAAAUCUGCAAUACCUCCAAUUAAUCCACCAGGAGCCUCACCAUUCCCAUACCACUGCCAAACGUAGCAAACUUGAUGAAACAGCACCCCUGUGAUCUCUCUUUUCACAUCCCCACCACUAUACCCAUUAACAUAUCUUGCACUCACGUGAAUCUCGUUGUUCAUAGUGUAUGCAAUACCCUCCAUGUCAUCCACGACUAAGCUCACCUUCUGCACAUUUUUUCUGUCAGAAGGGUUUUUUUGCUGAAAGAUCCUCCAUACGAAUUGGGUGGCCAACUCAAGUGUUCGGUUUGCGUAUUCAGCUCCUAUUUUGUCACGGAAUCUCACACCACCGGGGGUUGUCAGUGCAUUGUUUAUUACUGUGAACUUAUAUCCCUGUGUUUCCUGCUUUGUAGCAUCAAAGCUUACUUUUAGAAUAUCUACGAUUUCAUCAAUGGGAAUUCUGCUAUAAUGUUCCACAGCAUAUUCCCAUUCUGCUACUGUUUUUUCAAACAAGUGGGAACCUAUGACUUCCAAAGCCAGUGGAAGGCCAGAAGCAUAAGCUACCACACGAUUCAAGACGUGCUCAUAACUUGGAUCAAUUUUUUCUCUUCUGAAAGCAUUCCAAGUAAGCAAUUGAAGAGCAGCAUUGUCAUUCAAAACCUUCACCUCAUAAGUUCUUUCAAUGCCAUGAUAUUUUAGCAGAUGUUUGUCCCGAGUGGUAAUGAUGACUCUGCUACCGGGACCAAACCAAUCAGGUCUUCCAACAAUAGCCUUUAAUUGCUCGUGCCUGUCUGCAUCGUCUAAAAUCAAGAGAACCUUCUUUCUUCGGAGCCUAUGUUGAAUCAUUGAAGCUCCUUCUUGCCAACUUGUUAAGUUGAUGUCCUUCUCACCAAGUAAUUUUAAAAGAAGGAUGCUUUGAAGGUGUUUUAACCCAUGUUUAUUUGAUUCUUCUCUCACAUUUUGAAGAAAACAUGAUUCGUCAAAAUGGAGAGCAAUCAAAUUAUAAACAGCUAGAGAAAGGGUUGUUUUUCCUAACCCACGCAUCCCAUGGAUCCCUAUGAUAUGGACAACAUCAUCUGAUCCAACAUCCAAAAGCUUCAUUAAGUCUGUCACUUGUGACUCUAGACCAACUGGAUAAUCCAGAACAUGUAAAGAAGCUCGAUUAAUCUUCCUAGAGACCUCCUCAACAAUGCUCCCAAUAAACUUGUAUUCAUAUGCAUCUCUGUUUCAAACAAACAAAAAAAGUUCUAAUGAAGUCAACCUAAAAGCCUUGCAUCCAUGUCUUGCUAGGUACAUUAAUUGUAAAGGUUAACAAGAGCAUUUCUUUUCUAUUUAAAUUUUACUGGUAAAAUCAAAGACAAGUAAAACCUAAUCCUAUAAAAACCAUAAAGUAAAUUAUAUUAGUAUGAUUGUAUACCCAUCUUUGAAAUGAUGGCCAGACAAGUCAGCUACUUGUUUCAAAGCCAUCCUCCAUUUCUGCAGCUUCUCCAUCUUAGAUUCGAACCUUUUCUGAUGCUUAAUCAUUGCUUCUCCAUAACUACCUUUCUGGUGUCUGAGAUCAGAAGGAUCUACGUUGUAAAAGACCGGUAUAACCAACAGCCCUUCACUCUUGCAGUGAAGGAUGGUUACAAGUUCAUCUAAACAAAAUGAGGAAAAAGCAUAGUUUUGAGAAAGCACAGUAAUAGCAAUCCUGGACUCUUGAAUUGCCUUCGAAAGUGCAGGUGUUAUUUCAUCUCCACCGUGAAGCUUCUCUUCAUCAAAGAAGGUAUGAAUUCCCUUCUCACAGAGAGCCCUGUAUAGAUUGCCAGUGAAACCAUAGCGUGUGUCUUCCCCUCUGAAGCUGAGGAACACAUCAUAGAUGAAUGGAAGGGAACGUGUUGUUGCAGCCAUUAUUAGAAGAAAGAAGUUUAGUAUGAUAAUGGUUGAUAUGGUGGGAGUGUAGAAUCAAACUUGAACAAAUAUGAGAAAGAUAUAUACCAAAUGUUAUAAAAGUCAAGUACGUCAAGCUCUUAUUAAUUGUCUGUUAUAAAAUUCAAUUCAAGCUCUUAUUCUAUGUUAUAAAAGUCAAGUUAAGAUCUUAUAAAGAAAGAUGCUCUCACUUUUUUUCAUUUUAAAUACUACUUUUCAUAAUCAAAUUAUCACAAAUAAACACUAAAAGCAUUUUUAAUAAUUGGUACUGUAUUUCAAAUAAUUAACUGGUGGUACUACUUAUUCUCCCUCCCCAAAAAUAAUUGUUAAUUAGAGAAUGAAAAUAUAUAUUAAAUAAUAAGUAAUCUGAUAAUUUUUAAUCACAGGAGCUUCAAAAUUUGUCUUUUUAUGUAUAUAAAUUUCUCAUUGAAAGAGUUUUAUAAUUACCUUGAUAAUUUUACUGAAAUUAAAACACCCACACAUAAGAUGUUUUACUUUAAGUCAGAUGUAUUUGUUCGAAAAGUAAUAGAAGUUAAUUUUGUAUAAUAAAAAAUGUUAACCAAUAAUUUAGGACAUUGAUUAAAAAAUAAAAAUAAAAAUUUUGAAAAAUCUCACAUAUGAUAUACUUUCUUUUUGUAAUUUUUAAUGCAACUUAUUAAUUUGAUAACGCAACUUCAAUUUUGGUGGGUCAAAUAUGAUUUUACAUAUUUGAAUUUUAUCUAUACUUCUCAAUUUAUAAUCAAUUUUUUAAUUAAAUUUAAAGGCUGAUACACUGAAUAAGUGAUUUGGCACAGUAAAAUGAGGAAGAAGCAUAGUUUUGAGAAAGCACAGUAAUAGCAAUCCUGGACUCUCGAAUUUCCUUCAAAAGUGCAGGUGUUAUUUAUUUCGUCUACUCUCAGAAGCUCCUGAUACAGUGUAGAUUUCCCUGUCAUCAAGAGCUUUGUGGAGAUUGCCAGUGAAACCAUAGCGUGUGUCUAAACCUCUAAAGCUGAGGAACACAUCAUAGAUGGAUGCAAGGGAACGUUUCGUUGCAGCCAUUAUUAGAAGAAACAAGUUUAGUAUGAUAAUGGUUAAUUGAUAUGGUAGGAAUGUAGAAUCAAACUUGAACAAAUAUGAAAAAGAUAGUAUAGAAAAUGUAAAGUGGGGCAAACCAAGCAUUAUUUGACGCGGUCAUACAAAUGUUUAUUAUUAGGCAGAGUAACAAUGACAUAUGGGGCCAAACAAUAACUAGUAACGCGGACACAUCGUACCAAAGUCGAUAGCCUUGUGCAAAAUAUGUGGCUUUUUUUCUUUUGUUUUCUCUCUCUGUCAAAUAAGUCAAAAUCUUAUGUUGUUUAAUUUUAUUAAGGUCUCAGGUUUUGCUGGAUGAUGAGAAGAGGAUGGUUAAAAUUAAAGAUAAGAUUUCUAUAUUAAUUAUUAAUAAAUUUAAUUAAUAUUUCAUAUUAAUGUCAUCAGUAAAGAAUAUCUUUACUAUAUCUUCUACCUACAAGCUAUGAGACAAGUAGUAAAAAAAUUACAUUUUAUAAUUAAAUCAUUACAAUCUAAGUAUUUUUUUUGUAGAAGUAUAAAAUUAUUUUUAGUAUUUGCUACUGCAUGUAUUUAAAAUAAUUAACUGGUGGUACUAAAUUGUAAUUUCUCCCCGUCCCCCAUUAAAAUUGUUAGACGUAAAAAGUUAGUCGAUUUCACAAAUUCUGUGAUCUGAGAUUAAUGAGCAAGAGCACAUUCUUUCAACUCCAAGUUGAAGGCUAUAUUCGGAAAUUUAGCUCUGAAAAAGGAAAAAAGGAAACCAAAUUCAAAAAUUAUGAUUCAUUUAACUUUCCAUAGGAUGAGAAUUAGAUGUUUGUUCCAAAGCCAAGAACAUGAGCUGAAUGGGUUGCCAAUAAAAAAAUAACGCAUUCCCCCUCUGAAUGUGAGAUAUGGCAUUCAAAGACUAGUUACUUUGGUCUCCUGGCCUCCUUGUCAAGAUAAGAUGUUUUCAAACUCAACACUAAUAGAAGCUCCUAUGGGAAUCCGUCCUGAUCCUUCGGGGUAGGGUGACAUUCACUACUAUAAAAUGAUGAUUCAACAUCGCCUCAGCUACAUGGGUUCGCCUCAUCUACAUCGGUUGUCGAAAAACCGUUGUAGUAAAACAUACGGUGACAUUUUUAAAAUUAAAACUAACUAUGUUAAGGUGUUAAUGGCGGUUUUUUAUAAAAUCGCCUUUUAUGUGUAUGUUACAAAGACAGUUUUAUAAAAACCGUCUUUGUUCAUAAAUACACUAUUAUGGUUUUUUAAUCACCCAUCUUUGAAGUCACGUGAUUUUAAUUUCAAUUCUAUUUUCACUUUCGAAGCUGAAGACUACGCCAUUUUCUGGUGACAUACGCAUUUUCUGGUCACCGAAUUCAACAAUGUCAUCGACGCACUGCCGCCGGGGACGACCAACGACCUGCACGAGAUCACGAAGCGAAUGGUGGCAGGAGGCUUCGGGAAGGAGUGCUCGCACGUGUACAGAAGUUGCCAGAGAGAGUUCUUGGAAGAAAGUGUGUCGAGAUUAGGGUUACAGAAGCUCAGCAUUGAGGAGGUUCAUAAGAUGACAUGGCAGGACCUCGAAGAGAAGAUUAAGAAAUGGAUUAAGGCCUCCAACAUCGCUCUCAAGAUCUUCUUCCCCAGCGAGCGCCGUUUCUGUGACCGUGUCUUCUUCGGAUUCGCCUCCGCCUCAGACUUCUCCUUCAAGGAGUUUUGUCGCUGGAAAGGCUGUUCCGAAUCCUCGACGUGUUUGAGACGCUGCGUGACCUAUUUCUGGAGUUUGAGGCUCUGUUUUCUGAUCAGUUUAGUGUGUCGCUCAGGAAUGAAGCGAUUACGAUUUGGAAGAGGUUGGGGGAAGAGAUUAGGAGAAUUUUUAUGGAGCUGGAGAAUUUGAUUCCCGGGAUCCGGCAAAGAUUGCAGUUCCUGGUAGCGGACUUCAUCCGAUCACUCGCUAUGUGAUAAACUACCUCCGUGCCACAUGUCAGUCACGGCAGAGCUUGGAACAGUUUUUUGAAGACUAUGGCAGGAAAUAGUACCCAAAGCUUGAUGAUAGGGUUCCUUCCUCUUCUUCUCUGUCAGUGCACUAUCAAAGAAGCUCCUGGAAUAAGGUAUUAGGGAUUCUGAAGUUCGAUAGUAAUGGGUCAAUGCCCCCUAUUAGCUUGGCAAAGUCAACGAAGGAGAAACUCAAGUCGUUUAACACGGUUUUUGAGGAGAUAUGCAGGGAACAGUCUUCAUGGUUUGUCUUUGAUGAGCAGCUUAGGGAAGAAAUAAGAAUUUCGCUUGAGAAAAUCUUGCUUCCUGCGUAUGGAAACUUUGUUGCAAGGUUUUAGAGUGUUUCAGAGCUUGGAAAGCAUGCUGAUAAGUAUAUAUAUUGAGUACGGAACGGAGGAAAUUCAAGCAAGACUCAAUGGUUUGUUUCAGUGAAGCAGUGGAUCAACUGGUAGCCGAAAGUGAAGGUGAAGCUGCUACUAGUUGUUCUUGUGUAUUUGUAGUGUAAUUAAAUUAAAAUACAAUGUUUUGAUUAUCACAAAAUUGUAGUCUUGUAGUCGUGUACUAUAAAUACUACUGUAUGUUAUUCUUCUUAGCAUCAUUGUGGAGGAUUGAAAAAGGAUUUUAAAGUAAGAGCUAGAGUUACAAAAUUAACCUUUAUGUUGUAACAUUUGAGGUGGUUCUUAUUGGUUUGUAUUUCAUAGAAUACAUUAGAAUAUAUGAUAAGAUAUUCUAUGAAAUACAUACAAUUCUAUCAUGACUCAUGUGUUUGAAACUUAAUAAUGGCUACCAACAUUGGAUUUUCAUAUGGUGGUGUAAACUAAGCCGAUCAUUCCAAUAUUUGUUUAUCAGUUCAAUUAAAAAAAAUAAAUUACAUUUUAAUUUCUUAUAAUUUGACUUAAAAUACUUUAUUCUGUGUUACCUGAACCAUAUAGAAUUUGAUAUUUUAUCAUCUUAUGUUUUGUUUUAAUUUAUUAUCACAUUGAUAAUUUAGUACAUUUUAUCUAUUUUCUAAAGAUUAAUAUAUUUUACUCUCUCCAUUUUCAGUUCAAAAAAUAGUAUAUAUGUAAAAAGAAAAAAAAAACAAGUUGAGCCACUAAUAAUGGAGAUUAAUGUAAAAUAUAUUUGCUUUAAAUUGUUGUUUUAAGUUGAGCAAAUAUUUUUAAGAAAUACUAGUAAUUUUUUAAACAGAAACUGUAACAUAAAUGGCCUAAAUAUACUCUUUGACCAUUAGGCUUGAAAUGGUAGCAGUUACUAAGAUGCGUUUUGUUUUAUUAGUAAUAUUGGUGUUGGAAUUGAAGAAAUAAAGAUAUUUUUUAGAUGCAAGAAGGAGGAAACUGAAAACAAAGCAAGUAGUACUACUGUGGUGUGGUGUGGUGUUAUUUUGUUUCGUUGUCUGCUAAUAAUUGUAAGCAUCAGUAAUGGGCAGUGGGUGGCAGCACAUGGCCACCGUGCUCCACCAAUCACCAAUCCAACUUCGCUUUCUUAAAUCAUAUCGACAUAAGGACAAUUUCGUAAUAUUUUUAUUGUGGAAAGUGAAAACUAUGAAUCUAGAUUAUAUAACUAUAAAUAAAUGUUUUAAGAUUAAAAGUUAGUCCGUGGUUAUAUACAUGACCACUUAAUAAAGCUUCAUCAAGUGCUUUUUUUAAAAUAAAAUAAAAAUAACCAUUCAAAUAUAAUUUAAUAGUGUAGGUUCAAAAUAUUCUGCGUGAUUUCUAUUUGGAAAUGGUUGGUUGUCUUUUCUGGUAUGUGUGGCUAUACAAACAUUCUUGCUGAACUGUUUGUCAUCUUUCAUGAUUUCAAUGUACCUUGGAACUCUACUUAUUGGCAUCAUAAAAUUGUAGCAUACAUUAAUGUUUCAAGAAAGAUAGAGUCUAAUUUCAACAGUUUUUGAAUAAAUUUACACCAAUUAAUUUUGAAACAUGAAGAAUACUAAACUAAAACUGAGAGAAUAAUUAUGGGUUGAAGUUUGAACAAAUGAAAUGGGCGGCUGAGAUCAUUCACAUCAAUGCAUGUGAUAAAAGUAAAAUACAACAAACAUUAAUUGGAAGACUUAUUAAUUUGUUGGUUUAAAUUUUCAUAGUCUUAACAAAUUCCUCAUAGCUAAUUUGACCAUCACCAUCCAAAUCUGCAGUUGCAAUCAUCUCCUCCACCUCUCCAGCAGUUGUGUUUUCACCCAGUUUGAUCAGAACUUGCCUCAACUGCAUAGCACGGAAUGAUUUUAACAUAUGAGGGCAUGUGUAUGUCUUUGAGCAUAUAUGCAGUUCUUAGUUAAUACUAAUAAAUUCUAUAUGAAAAAAGGAAGUUAACACUGAUAAAUUAAAAAUGAUCAAGUGAAAACUGAAAAACAAGAUUUUCUUCCUGAUCUUAUUUUAAAAUGUCAAAACCCAAGACAUUUUUUUUAAAACCAAACAGGCAAACAACUAUUAUUCAGAGUAUGCGGAAAGGUUCAAAGUACCAUCCUGAAUGUGCAAGUGACAUUAAUGUUCCUUUUUCUUUUCUUUUUUGGCCUUUUUCUCAGUGACAUAUAUAAAUAUAUAUGUACAUGAUAUCCUAGCCUCUCACCAUACAAUUUCAUUCCAUUUUUAAUAUACAAUUAUGGAAAAGGUUGAAUUAUUAAAAAUAAUACACGGGUAAUUUUAUAUAUUUUUAUUAUUUUUUGUUUUAAAAUUAUUGAUUUUCCUAUUUUAAAUUAUUAAUAUUCUGUAAAUUUCUAGCUUUUUUUCAUUAUUCUUUAUUUAAAAUAUCUAGAUUUGAUCUUUACAAAGAAUACUACACUUCUAGCCUCUUUAAAAAGCGCUUCAACAAUAUCAUAUAUUAAAUAAGGUUACUUUAAUCUAAAUGUAUGAAUAUUAUAUACUUAUUAAAUACUUUUUAAUCUAUUUAUACUAACCUUAAACAUCAAUAAUUUUAGAAGGGCUGUAGCAAUUUAUAAAAUAAAUUUGUGUGUGUGUAAAAAAUAUUAAAAGAACAAUCAAAGGGAAGAUGCACUUUGCAACAUCUUGACACUACUUGCUUUUUGUUCAAGUUUGAAGUAACCUUACUUCGUCAGAAAUCUCAUGAAUACUUUGAUGGGCGAUUGCCGUCAGAAAAAGCAAGUUAAAAUAAAAAAAUGAAUAGAAAGAAUAAAAGUUUAUACAUAUACCUCACUUGCUGAAAUGUAGCCAUUUUGAUCCUUGUCAAACACCUUGAAAGCCUCUCUGUAUUCUUGCUCUUGAUGAGUUCCCUAACCGAGACAGAAAACAGAACUGAACUUAGUAUAUGGCUGUUCUAUAUAUAAUAGUAAUAAUGAGAAGAAUAUUAAUCUUAGCAAAAAAUGCAAUAUUAAUUCCUUACUUGCACUUUGGACUCUUGUUCAACAGGCAGAUCGGCAACAUGUACUCUAGCAGGAUUAAUCUUCUCAGAGACCGACGCAACAAUUCUCUCAAUAAACUUGUACUCAUAUUCAUCUCUGUUAUUAAUAUUUGAACAUUAAAUUGUGAGACAAGUAAAACUUAAUUAAUCCAAUAAAAAUUAAAACAUAAAAAGAUUGGUAUCAUUGGGUACCUGUAUUUGAAAUGAAAGCCAGACAAGUCAGCAACUUGACGCAGAGCCAUCUCCCAAUUCUGGAACUUUUCUGGAAAUCUUAUCUUAUGCUUAGCCAAUGCUUCUCCAUAAGUACCCUUCUGGUGUCUGACAUCAGAAGGAUACACCUUAUAAAACACUGGUAUAAUCAUCAUCCCAUUAUACUGGGCGCAGUGAACAAUGGAUGUAAGUUCAUCUAAGCAAAAUGAGGAAGAAGCAAAGUCUUCAGAGAGCACAGUGAUGGCAAUUCUGGAAUCUUUAAUUGCCUUCAAAAGUGCAGGUGUUAUUUCCUCUCCGCUGUGAAGCUUCUCUUCGUCAAAGAAGGUACGAAUUCCCUUGUCAGAAAGAGCCCUGUAGAGAUUGCUGGUGAAACCAUAGCGUGUGUCUUCCCCUCUGAAGUUGAGGAACACAUCGUAGAUGGAUGCACGGGAACUUGUUGUUGCAGCCAUUAUUAGAAGGAAAAAAGUUUAGAAUGAAACUUGAAGAAAUAUGAAAAUGAAAGUAUCCCAAAUUAAUGCUAAGUGUUAUAAAGAAGAUAACCGCCUUUGUGGAAAAUAGCUAAGAUGCUCUCACUUUUUUUCAUUUUAAAAAAAAAAGUACUUUUUUAUAAUCAAAUUGUUACAAAUAAACUAUAAAAGUAUUUUUAAUAAUUGGCAACUGGUGUACUAGUAAUUCUGCCCCACCCCCUAAAAGAAUCUUUAGAGAAUCAAAAUAUAUAUUAACUAAUAAGUGAUCUGAUAAUUUUUAAACAAGUGUUUUAUACAGAAGAUAGCCGCCUUUAUGGGAAAUAGCUGUGUUAUAAAGAAGAUAGCUGCCUUUGUUGAAAAUCUCUUGCUUUCUCUCAUUCAUUGUUAUAAAAGUCAAGUCAAGCUCUUAUAAAGGAAGAUGUUCUCACUUUUUUUUUUCAUUUUAAAAAAUACUUUUUGUAAUCAAAUUCUUGCAAAUAAACUAUAAAAGUAUUUUUAAUAAUUAACUGGUGGUACAACUAAUUAUGUAGCCCCUAUAAAAAAAUCUUUAGAGAAUCAAAAUAUAUAUUAACUAAUAAGUAAUCUGAUAAUUUUUAAUCACUAGAGCUUCAGAGUUCGUCUUUUAUAAAAAACAGAGUAAAAAUAUAAAAGAGAGAUGAAAAUAGAAAAGAGAUAGAAUCUGAGAAAAAAAAGUCAUGCGUGAAAAUGUUUUACACUAUCAAUUAAUCAUAUGAUAAAUUUGUUGAUUAUUAAACUAACUAGUUUAAAAUAUUAUCUAUUAAGUAAAAAUUUAUUAUGAAUGCACAUAGUUAUUUAAAAAAAUAUAUACUAAAAGGAUGUAGGACACUGAAUUAGGUUAGGACAAUCCAAAGCAUAACUCAGAAUCCAUUCUAAAGACUAUAUUGAGUCUAAUUUCAAAAUUCUAAUUCAUCUAAAUCAACUUUAAACCGAACUCAGAUGAUGAAACUAGUUGGAUAUUGUUCACCCUACAGUGUGAUAACUGUAAGGUUUGGAAGGAAAACAUUCUUCUCCAUUUUGACUAAAUCAGCAUCGAUUAUGCUAUUAGGAAAUGAUAAAUCAUUGAGUAUUACUAAAACUAACAGCUCUAGAUUUGUACACACAUAUAUAUGAUGUCUACCAGGCUUAAAUUACUGAGGUCAUAUUGUCAGAGAAACUGGAAUUCUACAUCUCAUAAAAUCUAAAAACAACCAGCUAUGUGUUCAUCCAAGAUAAUCCUUAUGAUGAUAAUGAAUAAGACAUUCACUUGAAGUAUAUUUGAUUCUAGAGAGGCAUAGAACAAAACACAUCUAUUUUUUAUUUACAAGCAAGCACAAAUCUAUUGAUAUGCUCAAACUCAGUGAAUUAGCAUUCCACUUUCUGAAGCUGUAAGCAGCCAAUAUAGUAGUAUGAUUAAACCUAAGAAACACUGUUACAAAUUUAAGAAGUUUAAGUCUUUCUUCUUCCUGCUCAAACUAUUUCUUCAUUGGAAGUUGAAUGCACCUGACCCUGCACCUUGCAAUAGGAAACCCCUAGAAGACCUAUUCAAAGCAAAAAGGAAUCAAUCUAAACUAAGAGGAAAAAUAAACCAUGGAAAUCUCAUCAAACAUUCUCACCAAAUCUCAUUUGCAUGGAGUCCUGCUGUAUCUGUAUAAAAAUGUUGAAUCGCAGUUCUUUCAUUCCUUCAAUCCAUUAUCGCGACUUUUAGCAAUGCAAAAAUCUUUUAGUUGAAGAGAGCAGUCACUAGUUUCCAGCAAUGGAAACCACUGCAGCAGGAGCAACUAGCAAUAGUUUGUAUGGGGAUUUUGAACCUUACAGAAGAUGGCAUACAGAGGAAGGACAACAGACUCUUGAGGAGUUUUCUGCAUUGCUCAUCAGUUUAUUGUCUCACCUCCACUAUCCAUUUUUUCAAGAUAUAAUCAUCAUCAUAUGAUCCCUACUUAGCAGCAUCUUCCUAAUCAAUUAUGUUGUUUACUAAAUUCCAGUUAAUCAGUUUCAAAUUACUACUAAAAAGAGCACAUGUUAUGACGCCAAAACGAGGUCGGUUCAAAUAAACCAUCUUACAAUAUAUGGCCGAGACAAUUUUAUAAAUAUGAGGAGUUUAACAAAGAAGGUUAUAUAAAAACUGCCUUAGAAUAUAUGGCGGUUGGCAUCGCUGUGCUUCGGCACGGCUGCGGGGUUUGAGGUCUGGCACAGUUGCUUCUUGCAAUGCUGUUAGUGUUCGUGAAGGACCCUUUCCCGCACGUGCAAGCCUAGGAACUGGAAGGGCUUGCUGGUUUCUGCGAGCCUGGCAGAGAGUCAAGUGACAUCGUUUUCCUGUUGGCAAAACCCUCGUCUCUCGCUAGUACCCUGGGAACCAAGGUUUUUUAUUUUUCUUCUCUUAUUUUAAAACCCUUUCUAUAUAGCUCCAUAACUUCAUUUUUUAUAUAUGGAGUGGUGGCUGCCGAAGGUAAGUUUUCAUCUUCUUUGAACUUCAUCAUUGCUAUUGCCUUCUAAAUUUCUGCAUUAUCAUUUUAAUUUGUGCAAAAGAAAAUGUUCACACCCUUGUUUAUUUUCUCUGGAUUGCUUCACAGAAGGAGAGCAGAGAGCACAACCAAGUGUUCAUCUUUGACUCACCAUGAAGCUCAUCAGGUUUUUCUCUCUUUGUUGAUUUAUCUGUGAAUUUUCUUCUGUUGUGUUUUUUUAAUUAGCAUCUCAUUCAGUGCAUUACAAGGUGAUGCAAGUAUAAAUCUGAUUUAGAAUCAUUCGAUAAGCAUGUGAAAGGCCUGCAUUUUGUGCUUAUGAACAGGGAAAGGAUAUUCUACUUGCUUUGUUGGAAAAUCCCAUUCUAGUAUCAGCCUCAAACUGUUUGAAGGCUAACUCAGAGAGGAAGUUCUCAGUAUCUGAUGUGUCUAGUCCAGAGAGAUCAAAAUGGGUUUAUAUAUUCCAGAGAGAAUAUGCUACCAUUGACCCCGCCCUUGUUGAUGUAAUUUCUUAACUUUUUGCAAUGUCAUUAAGCUAAUAUGUAUUACUUCAAAUGUAAUCAUUUCCCUUUGACUUCAGUGAUGAUGUGUAAGAGAUAAUUUUUGUAAAAUUGUAAAUUUAAUUUUAAACUAGUUCAUAGUUCAUUAUUGUAUGCAACUAUUAAUCUUGUGCAUGCAGACAAUUCAUACUUAAUUGGACUAAGUCACAUCAUAUGUGGAAUUUCUUUUUCCGGUCCAUUUUUUCAAAUGUUCCUUCUACUAGGUGUUCAAAUAUUGGUUUUAUUAUUUUUAAUUUAACACUGCAGGAUAUCAGUUGCCGCAGAGAUACUGAUGCAAUUUUCCUUUCAGGGGACUUCUAGAAUACAUAUACAUUGGAAGGGAGCCGCAAAGAUAGUUCUAGGAGCAUGUACUCAAUAUCUUGAUUCAUAUGGUCAAUUGCUAUCCAUUGAAGAAGAGAAAAAGGUUAGGGAUGGCAGUUUCAAGUCCAGAGAGCUUGCUGAUGGAAUGAAAUUCAUUUAAUUGAACAUUGGAGAUGUUAUUUUAUUUUUCUUUUGGUUUAGAACAAUCAGAAAUUAAGGAAAAAUACAUGGAACAAGGUUUCCAACAAAUUUCUUUUUUCUUAUCAAUGUGAUUAUAGUGUCAUUUGAAGUUACUCUGAUAGAGAACCAAAUCAAGAAAUGGGGAAAAAAUCAAAGCACAUUGUUCCUUUAUUGGAAGCCUAACUCUCACCUUGCAAUGCUAGAAUUGGAACAAGCAACUCCCCAGAAGACCCAUUUAAACAAAAAAGGAAUUAUUCUCAACCAAGAGGAAAAUUAAACCAUGAAAAUCCCAUUACGGUUUCUCACCAGAAUCUCAUUUGCAUGCAGUACGAUAUUUGUAUGAAAAAUGUUUAGUCACAAUUCUUUCAUUCAUUCAAUCCAUUAUCAUAACUUUUUGCAAUACAAAUAUUUCUAGUUUAGCCGUUUAAGAGGGCAUUCACCAGUUUCCUGCAAUGGAAAAUGAUGCUGGAGCAACUAGCAAUAGUUUGUAGGGGAUUUUGAACCUUACCGCAAAUGGCUUACAAAGGAAGGACAACAGACUCUUGAAGAGUUUUCUGACUUUGCCUUCUCUGUUUCUUAGCAUUUUCACCUCAACAUUUAUUUUUAGAUAGUGGUGUCUGUUGGACUUUGACUUGUUUAUUUCUUAGGCUGCUUCCUAUCCUUAUUAAUGGCACGUUUUUAAUCUCCAUUCAUAAAUUUAAAAACAACAAGCUAUCAGCCAUCCUAAGACAAUCCUUAUCAAGAAAAUGAAGAAGACAUUAUCUAGCUUAAAUUACACUAGUUAUUCCUUAGAUUUGGUGAAAUUUUCACAACCUUUUCAUACUUUUUUUACCCCUACACUAACCCCUCAAUUAUUUCAAAAAUAUUAUUCCAGUACCUCUUAUACAUUAUACUAACCUUCCUUAAUUGUUUGAAGAACAUUACACUGUGUUCACUUAUAAAGAAGGUAGUUGUAAAUGUUAAAAAAAAUAAUACUUAAUAAUUUAGAGAGGCAUAUAGAAGUAGAAGUAAACACAAAUCUAUUUAUAUGCCCAACUCAAACUCAAUAAGAAUCCUAAGUAGACAUUCUUCUUACAAGUAUAAAAAAUUUAACUUUCUCAACUGCUAUGAACAGUUGAUAUAGAUCAUAUAGUAGUAUGCUAGCUAAAUCCUAAGAAGUACACUUUCAAAAUUUAACUAAUUGAAGUUUUUCUCCUUCCUGAUCAAAUUAUUUAGCAUAACCAGCGGGAAUCUGAUCAUCGUAGCAAUUAGAAGAGAAAAAGUUAAACAUCCAAAAACAAAUGUAUAUACAUACAAAAAUAAAUAUAAAAAUAAAUUACAAAUAUAUUAUUAUAUUGUUUUAUAGUAGAACUUGUAAGGGAAAAUCUAAAAGUAAACAAAAAGUAUAUUAAAGAUUUCUUUUUACUUUAUUUUAAUUACAAUGUAUAUAUAAGAUAAAUACCUGUUGGUUUAUGUAAUUUUGAAGUGUAACUAUAAAAAUAUAUACAAAGAUAAAACUUGAAAGGUUAUAUAUAGAAAAUGCAUAAAGUAGUGAAAGAUGAAUAUAAAUGAGUCAAAAGUACAUGAUGAAGAUAGGGUGAAGAGCAGUUGGGUUAAGUCAAUUUUUUUCAACUGAAACCAAAAUAAUAAAAUAAAAAACAAAAAAAAAUAAGAAAAAAGCUAUGGAAAACUUGCGUGUUCCCAAAGCUAUGGUUUGUAGUAAGGAGCGGCUUUCUGAUGCAGAGCUGCUGAGAUAUGGAUCAUCAAAUCGAAUAUCUUCCUCCAUACUGCCUUCUUCUCUGAAUAUAUGGAUUCCAGUUGCUUUAAUGAGUGAGCUCUCUAAGUCUAACACACCUUCUUUUCUUUUUUGCUUUUCAUAGUCUAACACACUUUGAUAUCUAACCUCCACAUGGUUCCAUUCCUUUUCCCUAGCCACUUCUAAAGCAAACAGAGAUCUAGAGGGACGAAAGAUAUGUGUAUGAUCCAAUUUCAACAUACUGUAACUUUCAUAAUCGAGCAGAUAGUUUAGAAUUUUUCCAUCGAUGAACACCUUGGGUAUAACGAAAGUUUGCAGGUCAUCCGACACAGGUGCAAUAAGAAGACAAAGAAGUUUGGAAGGGAAUUUAUUACGAAACCAGAAAGAACUUGAAUGUCCACUGCUUUGCUGAUCCAACCACUCUGGUAUUCUUGUUCCUGGAAACACAAACUCGGUUCCUCCAGCCUCAUACAGUUCCUGUUAGUCAUAAUUCAUACAGAAUUCAUAAGUUUAACAACAUUAAGUGCACUAUACAUCAUCAAAUCCUGUACAGUAACAAAAAAGACAAUACCUGAUUUAAAAACAUGCUUUUACUCGAGGAAGUCAAGGAUGCACAGUUUCUUGCAUGGAAAUAACAUAAGUUUGGUGGAAGCCCUCUAAUUUCCUGAAGAUGCUCGCAAUCACUCACCAUAAGUGCUCUUAAAAAUUUCAAUUCUUUGAAGAAUUCAGGAAGGAUUGUGAAAUUAUUCCCCGAUAGAUCUAAAUAUCCUACACGAGCAAACCUCUUGGAACCUGUUAAAAAAAAUCAUCACAGAGAUUGCAAUUCAUGGCAGAAAACGAAAGUUUCAUUGAAGACGGUAUUGAGCCCACUUUUUCUUCACCUCCUUCCGAUUCUACCCAUUGCCACCUGUUACAAUUUUUAAUUUGGAAUCGAAACAGAUUGGGCAUCAUGGCUAAGCUACAUCGUAACUGAACAAUUCCACAGCUCCACAGGGAUAACAGUUGGAGUCCAAUAAGAUUUUGAAAUGAAAAUGGCAAUUCUUUUAUGGGAAGGCCAUCCAAUUCAAGGCUCUUUAUGUUUUCCAUCUCUCCUAAUAUUUCUGGAAAAUAAUCAAGACUGGAACAGUGAGAAAGUUCAAGUGUUUCAAGAGAGGUCAAGUUGAGAGGCGGAAAACUCGUAAGCUUCCUGCAACCAUAAGCACUCAACUUUUUUAAGUUUUUUCAGAAAACCAAUGGAGUCAUCAACUGCAACUAAACUCUCACACCCUUCAAAUGAAAGUUCCCUCAAAUUUGCGAGAUCAGAUACAUCAGGUAUCUUUGUUAAAAAUUCGCACUGGUCAAAAUUUAAAACUGUUAGAUGUCCCAACUUCUGCAAGGAAAAAAAAAAGAAAUAAGAAACAAAUGAAUAAAUUUAAUUCACAGAAUGAGAAAAAUAUAAUCUUUAAACUUGCCUUCGAUGGGCCAUGGAACUCAAAUGACUUAAUGGAACUGUUAGGUAACUUGCAUAUAACAAGGUUCAUCGGAUCAAAGUUCGAUGGUAAACAAUUUGAAGGAUAUCUGUGCCAUUCCAGUACUCUCAAACCUUCUGGAAAAUAACUGGGACCUUUGGAAAAUUUGCCAUUUCUAAUAAUAAGUAUUUUAAGGUUUUCCAUCUUCAUGAAGGCGUUUUCAUUCCAUUCCACUGUUUCUUCUUUGUCAGAUAUUGAGAAAUCCACACAUAUGAUUUCAAUUUUACUAGUUCCCUGUUAAUGCAAAAAGGCAUGAAUCAACCACAAUACAACUUGUGUGAAAUAUCAAUUGACUCGCUUAGAAAAAUUUACAAAUUAUCAAGAAAAAGUUAACUAUGAUGUAAAUAUGAGAUAGACAAAAAAAUUCAACUAUUCAUGAGCUCACUCACCGUGUUGUGUUUUAAAACUUGAAUUAUAUCUUUUGGUGACAAUAAUCUCUUGCACUUCCCGGGCUCUUCUGGUGAUCUCUGCCGCUCAAUUUCUCUACCCAUGUCCUGAAUCAGGUCGUGCAUUUCCACAGUAUCACACCAGCUACGCUUUAUGAGAGAUUUUUCAACCAACACCCCAAUAUGAUGCUUCUUGCAGUUACCAUAAAGAGCACGGAGUAUAUCAUCAACCUCUGUCCAUUUAUACCCUUUGAAGCAACACGCAAUGUCAAGAAAAACAUUCUUUUGUUCUUCCUCCAAAGCAUCAAAGCUUACAUUUAGAAUCUUUAGGAUUUCAUGACUGGGAAUUCUUUUAUAAUAUUCCACAGCAGAUUCCCAUUCUGCUACUGUUUUAUCAAACAAGUUAGAACCUAUGAUUUCCAACGCCAAUGGAAGGCCAGAAGCAUAAGCUACUACACCAUUCAAGACCUCCUCAUAACUUGGAUGAAUUUUCUCUCUUUUAAAAGCUUUCCAUGUAAGCAAUUGAAGUGCAUCAUUCUGAUUCAAAACCUUCACCUCAUAAGUUCUUUCAACCUCAUGAUAUUUUAGCAGAUGUUUGUCCCGAGUGGUAAUGAUGACUCUGCUACCCGGACCAAACCAAUCAGGUCUUUCAACAAUAGCCUUCCUUUAAUUGCUCGUGUUUGUCAACAUCGUCUAAAAUCAAGAGAACCUUCUUUCUCUGGAGCCUAUGUUGUAUCGUUGAAGCUCCUUCUUGCCAACUUGUUAAGGUGAUGUCCUUCUCACCAAGUAAUUUUGAAGGAAGGAUGCUUUGAAGGUGUUUUAACCCAUGUUUAUUUGAUUCUUCUCUCACGUUUUGAAGAAAACAGGAUUCAUCAAAAUGGAGAGCAAUCAAAUUAUAAACUUCCAGAGCAAGUGUUGUUUUUCCUAACCCGCCCAUUCCAUGGAUCCCUAUGAUUUGGACAAGAUCAUCGGAUCCAACAUCCAAAAGCUUCAUUACCUCUGUCACUUGUGAUUCUAGACCAACUGGAUAAUCCGCAAUAUGUAAAGAAGUACGAUUAAUCUUCCUAGAGACCUCCUCAACAAUACUCCCAAUAAACUUGUAUUCAUAUGCAUCUCUGUUUCAAACAAACAAAAAAAGUUCUGAUGAAGUCAGCCUAAAAUCCUUGCAUCCAUGUCUCGAUAUGUACAAUAAUUGUCAAGGUUAACAAGAACAUUUCUUUUCUAUUUGAAUUUUACUAGUUAAAUCAAUAGACAAGUAAAACCUAAUCCAAUAAAAACCAUAAAGUAAAAUAUAUUAGUAUGGUUUUAUACCCAUCUUCGAAAUGAUAGCCAGACAAGUCAGCUACUUGUUUCAAAGCCAUCCUCCAUUUCUGCAGCUUCUCCUUCUUAGCUUUGAACCUCUUCUGAUGCUUAGCCAUUGCUUCUCCAUAACUACCUUUCUGGUGUCUGACAUCAGAAGGAUCUACCUUAUAAAAGACCGGUAUAACCAACAGCCCUUCACUCUUGCAGUGGAGGAUGGUUACAAGUUCAUCUAAACAAAACGAGGAAGAAGCAUAGUUUUGAGAAAGCACAGUAAUAGCAAUCCUGGACUCUUGAAUUGCCUUGGAAAGUGCAGGUGUUAUUUCGUCUCCUCUGGGAAGCUCCUGAUCAUCAAUGGAAGUGUAGAUUCCCCUGUCAUCAAGAGCUUUGUAGAGAUUGCCAGUGAAACCAUGGCGUGUGUCUAAACCUCUGAAGCUGAGGAACACAUCAUAGAUGGAUGCAAGGGAACGUGUUUUUGCAGCCAUUAUUAGAAGAAAAAAGUUUAGUAUGAUAAUGGUUGAUAUGGUGGGAGUGUAGAAUCAAACUUGAACAAAUAUGAAAAAGAUAGCAUACAAAAUGUUUAUUAUUACGCAGAGUAACACGACAUAUGGUAACAAUGACAUCCUACCAAAGGAGAUAGCCUUGUGGAAAAUGUCUCGCUUUUUAUUUUUGUUUUCUCUCUGUCUGUCAAAUAAGUCAAAAUCGUACUAAAUAUUAAUUUCUCCCCGUCCCCCAUUAAAAUUGUCAGACAUAAAAAAUUAGCAAAUUUCACAAAUUCUGUGAGCUGAGAUUAAUGUGCAAGAACACAUUCUUUCAACUCCAAGUUGAAGGCAAUUUUGUGAACUUUAGCUCUCAAGAAGGGAACCGAUUCAAAAUUAUGAUUCAUUUAACUUUCCAUAGGAUGAGAAUUAGGCGUUUGUUCCAAAGGACGUUUAGAUAAAUAAAACUAAGCUGGUGGAAAUUAAUUUAAAACUGAAUUACAAUGUUAGUUUUCAAACAAUAUUUUCAGAAUUCAAUUUUUACGUACUAUUAUCAUAAAAAAAUAUCCUACCAAUUCAUAAAAAAUAAAGGUAGACGAGACCUGUGAAGUAGUUAUUAUUUCAAUAAUUAAUUAUAUACAUAGUUAAUUAUUAUUAUUAUUAUUAUUAUUAUUAUUAAUUAUAGAAAUUAUUUUUAUAUUAAAAUAUGUUGAAAAAUACUACUUUAAUCUAUUUUAUUUAAAUAGUUUAAAAAAAACUUUUUGCAUUGAAAAUUUUACUAUAAGUAUAAAGUUAUUGAUUCCUAAUAACAAAAAAGGUUAUUAAUUCCAUAAAAAAAGCAUAAAGUUAUUAAUCAACUGCUGGUACAUCCUUCCCAAGAAAAAUUAGAAAUUUUUAAUCAUAAGUAUGAAUUUUUUUAAUUAAUUUGAUUUUUUUAAUUAUAAACUUCAAAGGUUUCUUGCAUUAGAAUUGCGUUUGACUCAUUUUUGUAUUUUAAAGAUUGCCUUAAAAUUUAAAUUUAGAAAUAAGAGGUUUAAAUAUAACUAAAAAAUUUAAUAUUUUUUUAAAAUUUUCAUUAACUUAAAAUAGAUCAUCUAAAAUGAAGAAAUUAAGGAAAUUUGGUGGAUAUUGCGAAUAGAACCUUGGUGGAUGUUACACGGACAUAUAUAUAUCGUACGAAUCACGAUAAUAUUACGCGGACAUACCGUUCAAACUUGUGGAAAAUAUGUCUGUGUUUUUUAGAAUGCUACCGACACAUUAACAACCUAAGCAGCACAUUAACAAAAUUUAACUAAUUCUAGUUCCCAACCUCAUUUUUGGCUUAUUAAUCCUUCAAAAAGAUAGAAGUUCACAACUCACAGGAUUAUUGGAACAAAAUUUUGUAAAAUGAAAUCUCAAAUUCUUAAGUUGUAGUUAAAAGGAUCGAUCAAAAGUAUGCUAAGAAAAGAAAAAAGAAUAUAGGAUGGGGAAGGAAUUUAAAACACAGGUUUCCUUCAUUUACAGUUUACACAUGCACCUCAUUCUCACCAUGCAAUACAAUGAUAAGGAAUUAAGGAAGUUUCGUGGAUAUUGCCAAUAGAACCUUGGUGGAUGACUACGAAAAGAAUUCCAUUAAGAAUAAAGAAAUUAAGGAAGUUUCGUGGGUAUUGCCAAUAGAACCUUGCCAAUAGAAAUUAAGGAAAUUAACCCGAAAUGAUUGCAAAUAGCUUACAAAGGAUGGACAAGCGACUCUUGAGAUUAAGUCAAUUUAUUAUCGGAAGAUUCCAAAACAAAAAGAUUGUAUGUAGUGGACAAUAUCAUCGUGCUAGUUUUUAAUUUAAUAUUAAAUUUAAAUUUUAAGAUAAAAUUAGAAUUUAAUCUAAGAAUAAUGAGUUUAUUAUACUAAUUAUUAUUAAAUCAUCUACAAAUGUUCAUUUAUUGGUGUAAGGGGACAUAAUGGUCCCAUAUAUAUCACCUAACAAUUUCUCCAAAUGUCACACCUUUAUUUUUAAGGACACAGAACCUAAUAAUAUCGUAAUUAAUCGCUCCAAACUUGAUAAGUAAUAAGAGAAAAUAUUCCUUACAUCAAUUAAAAAUGGAAAGAAAAUCAUAAUAUAAAUUAAGAUGAAAUUUAUUCUAAUGGUAUACAUAUGGUAAUCUUUUCUGAUCUUAAACUCUUACAGGUUUCAAAAAGGAGCAGCUUAAGAUUCAAACUUACAACUGGGAGAUCCUAACAAUUUAGGGAGAAAGGCCUAUGCAUUAAUAACUGUUAAAUAAAUGUGCUUUUCAUAAUGAAAAAUAAAGUGAAUUAUUUAGCAGUUAUUCAUGCUUAAUUAUUAGAAAGUGAUGUUUUUUUUUUUUAAAUUAUGAUCUGCAAAUACAAAAACGGGAAGAAUUAAAAGCAAAAAGAUACACAAAUUACGAAGACGAGUUGAGGAUUUAAAAAACUGAAAAGUGCAGGUGCUAUUUUGUCUCCUCUCGGAAGCUCCUCAUCAUCAAUGAAAGUGUAGAUUCCCCUGUCAUCAAGAGCUUUGUAGACAUAGCCAGUAAAAUCUUGACGGGUGUCUUUCCCUUUGAAGCUGAGGAACACAUCGUAGAUGGAUGCACAGGAACGUGUUGUUGCAGCCAUUGUUAGAAGAAAAAAGUUUUGUAUGAUAAUGGUUGAUACGUUGGGAGUGUAGAAUCAAACUUGAACAAAUAUGAAAAAGAUAGUAUACCAAAUGCUAAGUGGGGUGUAACGAAUGGAAUGUCACGUGGGGAGAAGGUUAACAAUACUGCUGAGUCAUCAAGUGAGAGAGGAUUGCAUAACAAACUUGCUGAUUUUGAGGAAUUGGGACGUGGGAAGAGAGAGAAGAAACCAAGUUGGAAAAUAACGGAAUCCCACUAGUGUAUAAGGGAAAGUAGUGGGAGUGUGAUAGGCAUGAUGUAUGAUGAAUGAAAAUUCUCUUCCUCUCUGAUUAUUCUCUCUUCCAUUCUGAAUUUCUUUUGCAUCUUGUACUUUUGCUCUUAUUUUCACACUGAAAACUAAGAGUUGUAUCCAUCAAUAAAAGUACUUCGUCCCUUUCCAAUUGAAUUACUGUUUCAUUAAUUACUUAGCAUUACAUUGGUGCUUUCAUCUCACCAUGGCAGACAACACCCGUAUGAAGGAGGUUUAUGCAGAAUUGAAGAAAAACGCUGAUGCGAUUACUCGUGUUAGUGACGAUCUUCAGAACCAUAUUGAACGGUUGGAAGCUACAAAUCACGCUCAGAUGGAGAAGAUUGAAGUGAUGCAGUCGACGAAUGAUUCUCAAUUCUCACAACUGAAUGCAGUAAUGUCACAGGUGCUGCAGCGUCUACAAAACAUUCCGAUGUCUUCCCAUGGUGCAUCGAACUCACAGAAAGAGCAGCAGAGAAGUUCGUUUCAGGUGAGAUCUGUCAAACUUGAUUUUCCUCGCUUUGAUGGAAAAAAUGUGAUGGAUUGGAUAUUCAAGGCUGAACAAUUUUUCGAUUACUAUGCAACACCAGAUGCUGAUAGAUUGAUUAUUGCUUCAGUACAUUUAGAUCAGGAUGUUGUCCCUUGGUAUCAAAUGCUUCAAAAAACUGAACCAUUCAGUUCAUGGCAAGCAUUUACUAGAGCCUUAGAACUUGAUUUUGGACCAUCUGCUUAUGACUGUCCUCGUGCUACUUUGUUUAAACUGAAUCAAUCUGCAACUGUGAAUGAAUAUUAUAUGCAAUUCACUGCUCUAGUAAAUAGAGUAGAUGGAUUAAGUGCAGAGGCAAUUUUGGAUUGCUUUGUUAGUGGGUUGCAGGAAGAAAUCAGCAGGGAUGUGAAAGCAAUGGAACCCCGUACCUUAACCAAGGCAGUUGCAUUGGCCAAAUUAUUUGAAGAAAAAUACACUUCACCACCUAAAACAAAAACAUUCUCAAACCUAGCCAGAAAUUUUACCUCAAACACUUCAGCCACACAGAAAUAUCCACCAACUAACCAAAAAAAUGACAAUCCAAAACCAAAUUUACCACCACUUCUACCUACACCAUCAACCAAACCAUUCAACCUUCGAAACCAAAACAUCAAAAAAAUUUCCCCUGCUGAGAUUCAAUUGAGAAGAGAAAAGAAUCUGUGUUACUUUUGUGAUGAAAAAUUUUCCCCUGCACACAAGUGUCCUAAUAGACAAGUUAUGCUGUUACAACUGGAGGAAACAGAUGAGGAUCAAACUGAUGAACAGGUAAUGGUGACUGAAGAAGCUAACAUGGAUGAUGAUACUCAUCAUUUGUCCUUAAAUGCUAUGAGAGGAUCAAAUGGUGUGGGCACUAUUCGAUUUACUGGCCAAGUGGGAGGCAUAGCAGUUAAGAUAUUGGUGGAUGGAGGUAGCUCUGACAACUUCAUUCAGCCUAGAGUGGCUCAGGUGCUUAAGUUACCAGUGGAACCAGCUCCUAAUCUUCGAGUUUUAGUGGGAAAUGGACAGAUUCUGAGUGCAGAAGGAAUUGUUCAGCAAUUACCAUUACAUAUUCAAGGCCAAGAAGUGAAAGUGCCAGUGUACUUGUUACAAAUUUCUGGUGCAGAUGUGAUAUUGGGGUCCACAUGGUUAGCAACAUUAGGUCCUCAUGUAGCUGACUAUGCAGCAUUGACCUUGAAAUUCUUCCAAAAUGAUAAAUUCAUUACUUUACAAGGUGAAGGUAAUUCAGAAGCAACACAGGCUCAGCUCCAUCAUUUCAGAAGAUUGCAAAACACAAAGUCAAUUGAAGAGUGCUUUGCAAUACAAUUGAUUCAGAAGGAAGUACCAGAAGACACUUUGAAGGAUUUACCAACAAAUAUUGAUCCUGAAUUGGCCAUCUUACUCCACACUUAUGCUCAAGUGUUUGCAGUACCAGCAUCACUGCCACCUCAGAGGGAACAGGAUCAUGCUAUACCACUGAAACAAGGGUCAGGCCCCGUUAAAGUAAGACCAUACAGAUAUCCUCACACACAAAAGGAUCAGAUUGAAAAGAUGAUACAAGAAAUGUUGGUUCAAGGCAUCAUUCAACCAAGUAACAGUCCAUUUUCCUUACCCAUACUGCUUGUUAAGAAGAAAGAUGGAAGUUGGAGAUUCUGCACAGAUUAUAGAGCUUUGAAUGCAAUCACUGUGAAGGAUAGCUUUCCAAUGCCAACAGUGGAUGAACUGCUAGAUGAACUACAUGGAGCUCAAUAUUUUUCAAAACUGGAUUUGAGGUCAGGAUACCAUCAAAUUCUGGUACAGCCUGAGGAUAGAGAGAAAACUGCUUUUAGAACACAUCAUGGCCAUUAUGAAUGGUUAGUGAUGCCAUUUGGUCUUACUAAUGCACCAGCCACAUUCCAAUGCUUAAUGAACAAAAUAUUUCAGUUUGCUCUCAGAAAAUUUGUUCUUGUGUUUUUUGAUGACAUCUUGAUAUAUAGUGCUUCUUGGAAGGAUCAUCUCAAGCACUUGGAAUCUGUGCUACAGACCUUGAAGCAACAUCAGUUAUUUGCUAGAUUGUCCAAAUGUUCAUUUGGAGAUACAGAAGUUGAUUACUUGGGCCACAAGGUAUCUGGGUUAGGAGUUUCCAUGGAGAAUACAAAGGUACAAGCAGUAUUAGAUUGGCCUACUCCAAAUAAUGUCAAGCAGUUAAGGGGAUUUCUAGGCUUAACAGGCUAUUAUAGAAGAUUUAUUAAAUCUUAUGCCAAUAUUGCUGGACCAUUAACUGAUCUUUUACAAAAAGACAGUUUCUUAUGGAAUAAUGAAGCAGAAGCAGCAUUUGUCAAGCUCAAAAAAGCCAUGACGGAGGCUCCAGUAUUAUCACUACCAGAUUUUUCUCAACCAUUUAUUCUGGAAACUGACGCAUCAGGUAUUGGUGUGGGAGCAGUGUUGGGACAGAAUGGCCACCCAAUUGCUUAUUUUUCAAAAAAAUUGGCACCUAGAAUGCAGAAACAAUCAGCUUAUACCAGGGAGUUGCUAGCUAUUACUGAGGCUCUAUCCAAAUUCAGACACUACUUAUUAGGCAACAAAUUCAUUAUCAGGACUGAUCAAAGAAGUUUGAAAAGUUUGAUGGAUCAGUCUUUACAAACCCCUGAACAACAAGCUUGGUUACACAAAUUCUUAGGGUAUGAUUUCAAGAUUGAAUAUAAGCCUGGGAAAGAUAAUCAAGCAGCUGAUGCUUUAUCAAGAAUGUUUAUGCUAGCAUGGUCAGAACCUCAUUCUAUCUUCUUGGAAGAAUUGAGAGCUAGACUAAUUAGUGAUCCUCAUUUGAAACAGUUGAUGGAGACAUACAAGCAAGGUGCUGAUGCAAGUCAUUAUACAGUUAGGGAAGGCUUACUGUAUUGGAAAGAUAGAGUAGUAAUACCUGCUGAGGAAGAGAUUGUGAACAAAAUACUCCAAGAAUAUCAUAGCUCACCUAUUGGAGGGCAUGCAGGUAUAACUAGAACUCUGGCAAGGCUGAAAGCUCAAUUCUACUGGCCUAAGAUGCAGGAAGAUGUCAAAGCUUAUAUACAGAAAUGCUUGAUUUGUCAACAAGCUAAAUCAAACAAUACACUGCCAGCAGGACUACUCCAACCUUUACCUAUUCCUCAACAAGUUUGGGAAGAUGUAGCCAUGGAUUUCAUCACAGGUUUACCAAAUUCCUUUGGAUUAUCUGUCAUAAUGGUAGUCAUUGAUAGACUCACCAAAUAUGCUCAUUUCAUUCCAUUAAAAGCUGAUUAUAACAGUAAGGUGGUAGCAGAGGCAUUUAUGAGUCACAUAGUCAAAUUACAUGGGAUACCAAGAUCUAUAGUGUCUGAUCGAGAUAGGGUUUUUACCAGUACUUUUUGGCAACAUUUAUUCAAGUUACAAGGUACUACAUUGGCCAUGUCAUCAGCUUAUCAUCCACAGUCAGAUGGACAAUCUGAGGUGCUGAAUAAAUGUUUGGAGAUGUAUCUUAGAUGCUUCACGUAUGAACAUCCUAAAGGUUGGGUAAAGGCAUUACCAUGGGCAGAGUUUUGGUAUAACACUGCAUAUCAUAUGAGCUUAGGCAUGACUCCAUUCAGAGCCUUGUAUGGGAGAGAGCCUCCUACACUGACCAGGCAAGCCUGUUCUAUAGAUGAUCCUGCUGAAGUGAGGGAACAAUUAACUGACAGAGAUGCAUUGUUAGCUAAGCUUAAAAUUAAUUUGACAAGAGCACAACAGGUCAUGAAGAGACAAGCAGACAAGAAGAGGUUGGAUGUGUCAUUCCAAAUAGGAGAUGAGGUACUGGUGAAACUGCAGCCUUAUAGACAGCAUUCUGCUGUCCUGAGAAAGAAUCAAAAGCUGUCCAUGAGAUACUUUGGACCAUUUAAGGUGCUGGCCAAGAUUGGUGAUGUUGCUUAUAAGUUGGAGUUGCCUUCUGCUGCACGAAUUCAUCCUGUUUUUCAUGUGUCCCAGCUGAAGCCAUUCAAUGGGACUGCUCAAGAUCCUUACCUGCCAUUGCCUUUGACAGUCACAGAAAUGGGACCAGUUAUGCAGCCUGUGAAAAUACUAGCAAGUCGAAUUAUCAUCAGAGGGCACAAUCAGAUUGAGCAGAUACUAGUGCAGUGGGAGAAUGGCUUGCAAGAUGAAGCUACUUGGGAGGAUAUUGAAGAUAUCAAGGCAAGCUAUCCUACCUUCAACCUUGAGGACAAGGUUGUUUUUAAAGGGGAAGGCAAUGUAACGAAUGGAAUGUCACGUGGGGAGAAGGUUAACAAUACUGCUGAGUCAUCAAGUGAGAGAGGAUUGCAUAACAAACUUGCUGAUUUUGAGGAAUUGGGACGUGGGAAGAGAGAGAAGAAACCAAGUUGGAAAAUAACGGAAUCCCACUAGUGUAUAAGGGAAAGUAGUGGGAGUGUGAUAGGCAUGAUGUAUGAUGAAUGAAAAUUCUCUUCCUCUCUGAUUAUUCUCUCUUCCAUUCUGAAUUUCUUUUGCAUCUUGUACUUUUGCUCUUAUUUUCACACUGAAAACUAAGAGUUGUAUCCAUCAAUAAAAGUACUUCGUCCCUUUCCAAUUGAAUUACUGUUUCAUUAAUUACUUAGCAUUACAUGGGGCUCCAAGCAUUAUUUCACGCGCUCAUGUAAAUGUUUAUUAUUACACGAAGUAACAGUGAAAUAUGGUGCCAAACAGUUAUAACUACUAAGGCGGACACAUGGUACCAAAGACACGUUCUAGCGUGCGCAACCCAAACUUGUUUUGCAUUGCACAGUGCGAAACUUAAUUUUUCCCCCUCUAUUCCAGUUUUGCCCCUUUUUAUAUUUUUUAUCAUUCCUUACUUUUCUCUGUUUUGCCGAGGAGAGUGUCACUGCAAGCAUAACUGGUACGACGGAGCCAUCAGAACCACCAUAUAGCAUUUUGUCUUUUUCUCUUCCUUCCUCCCCGCUCUUUCUCCUUUCCUUCUCUUUCUUACCUUCUCCGUUGAUGAUGGAUUUCAGAUCUUCAAUUGCUUCUUGCACCACCAUCAACCACGACUUUCGCAUCUACAGUUGUGGCCUUUUCUCUUCUGCAAGAGAUUUUCCAAUGCGAUUUCAACCCAAUACACUGAUUUGUAAUCUGUUCUCGAUUCUAUGUUUAGAUUUAUGUGGAGGUGGUAGUGUAUGGUGGCACUGUAACUGAUAGACUUGGGCAAGUCUACUGGUUUCGAGGACCAGCUCCUCCAGUAAAGAGAAGAAAAGAAGAGGUAAGGCACAAAUGUAAAGCUGAAUAAUUCUCAUUGAUCUUGCUUGUUAUUGAGUACAUGGUAUUUAUAAUGGAUGAAAAUAACUAAAUUGAGCUACUGUGGGCCCCCUAAGGAAUUUUAUCCUAACAAAAUUGGUGCACUGCUCCCCCUAAGGUCAACAGCUCCAAUCCUUCAAGCAAGAUUCACGAAGCAUUCCUUGGCUGGCUCUGAUUCUUCUAAACGUAAUCACCAAGGUAAUUGGGCUUAGUAAUUUUCCUCUUGGUUCCCUUGGGCUGAUCUGCUAUGGUUCCUGCUAUGCUUACCCCUGCUUCCAUGUUCGCCUCUUGGUUCUCUAUUGCUGUUUCUUCUUCCUUUUCUACCCCUGCCUCUGCAGAGUCACCUUGUCCUCAAGGUGAAAUUCCUGACAGAGUUGGGACCAAUCCUCCCAUGAUGUCUCGUCAGGAGAUAACCCGCUCCACUGCACCAACACCUCCCAGGGAGCAUUCGAAGUAGAAUCCUUUCUACAAGAGUUCAAGAUGGCCAUGGGUGAGAUUAGUGGUUGGUCGCCAUCAAAGUUGUCCGGCAAUUCAAUUGCUUCCACGUCAUCCGGUGGUCCCUUAAACUGCUUCAAGGAAGAAAUAUGAAAUACAGGAUGAAUGCGCAUCCCUUCCGGAAAUUGCAACCGAUAUGCUACUGGUUCGAUCCUCUCUAGUAUCUGAAAUGGACCAUAAAAGCGUUUGGAUAGUUUGCCGGGGUACGCUGAGCUCCCUUGGCCGAUGUCUGCCGGUGUGGUCAGAAUUUGACCAGGGCCCACUCACCACAAUUGAAAGUCACCUCUCUGCGUUUCUUGCCAUUGUACCUCUUCAUUCGCUCUUGUGCUUUCAAAAGUUUCUUUCAAAUUGCUUGAAUGGUGGCAUCUCGUUCGACCAAGCUGGAAUCAACAGCAUCGAGCUUGGAAGAGCCUGUAAUAUACUUCGGGAAAGUAAACGGUUUCCGGCCAAAGGUUAUCUCAAAUGGAGUAGACCCUGAACUAGCAUUCCAAGAAGAAUUGUGCGAACAUUCUACCCACGGCAGAAGCUUGCCCCACCGACCCGGCCGACGAUGAACAAAGGCCCUCAGGUAUUGCUCAACCACUCGAUUCAAGACCUCCGUCUGGCCAUCACUCUUAGGGUGAUACGCCGAGCUAAGCCGCAAUUGGGUGCCACUGGCGCGAAACAGGGCCUGCCAAAAAUGGCUAACAAAUAGUGAGUCUCUGUCGGAGACAAGGUUGCGUAACAAAUUCAGUUAUCUUAUUGCAAAACUUUCCUGGUGUCUAAUUCACAAUUCCCUUAAUCUUGAGUUGUGACAGUUAUUUAAUUAAGACUCUUGCAUUUAGAUGUGCAUGUAUAAUGUAUUGAUAAUGAUGGCAAAUGUGAAAGGCUUCUCAUACUGAAUUGCCUUUUAGAAUCUUUUGUGCGAGGGUGGUUUCACCCUAAUAAGAUGAGUUUUAUGGGAUAGGGGUGAUGGUAGUCAAUUUUGGCCUUUUUGUCUUGGAUGCUUUUGAUGAGUUUCCACAAUUUCAUGCAUUGUUUUCAAACUCAGAGUGUUAACUCCUAAAAGCAUCUGAGUUUAAGAGCUUACCUCUCCAAAUUGCGCUCGCUAGUUUCUGUAACCGUUUCUUGGUGGGAUUGGGUCAUGCGGCGGGGAUCAUUCGAAAUCAGUCUAAAUCGUGAACUUGUGGCUGGAUUCACAGCAAAAGAAUGUUGAUUUGUGGCUGGACCCGAACAAUUAGGUCUCAGCUCUCAUGUUUUCUCUCACGUGAUUAGGGCUCAACUUUCUCACAAAACAGAGUCCACCUUCGGCUGUGUUGAAGUUGCUCCUCCCUCACUUUUUCUCUCACAUGUCUCUUCUCCUGUGUUGAAUUUGUGUCUCUCCCUUUGCUGUGUCGAAGUCGCCUCUUCUUUCACACUUCACACCUUCCUCUGCCAUUUGCAACAGGUUAAAGCUUCUUCCUCUGUCACAGCGACCCAUUCAGCUCAUCCACUCAUGUGAGUCUAAUUUUGGUCCAUUAUUUUCACUUUGACUUAUCUGUGAUAAGCUCAUUAUUCACUUUUUGAUCCAUUCAGCACUAAUGUAACUAUAAAUCUGAUACCCUGUGUGGAUGGAAGCUAUCAAUCAACUAUUUCUUAAACGUACUUGUGUGGAUGUUUUAUGCCAAAACAUUUGGUGUGUUUGGUUAAAUUGCUGCAUGUCACUGCCAAAUCUCUUUUUUAAAUUCUGUAAUGAUUAGUCUCUUGAUUUAUUUUUAACCACCAUUGCAUAUUCCUGUAAAAAAAAAAAAAAAAAACUAAAAAACUGCUAUUGCAUAUUGACUUAUAUUUUACCACUCCUUUUAGUUCCAUUCAUUUUUGCUGGGAGGAUAUCUUACUGUAUUUGAAGCAUAAAAGUAUCAACUUUUAGUGAUUUCUUUGUUGUUUUAUUUCAAACAAAAUAUUGGCAAGGUCUUUUGCUGUACCUGGAAAUCAUCUUGGACAACAAAGUCAUGGUUUUCGUUGGCCAUAUGGUCCGGUAAGGAUUUUGUUUUCUUUAGCUUUGAUAUGUUUUUAAUUGGUAUAGUAUGUUCCAAAGGCUAAAAAAAUAUGAGAUCAUUUUGAUUAAGUGUAGAGAGGUCCUAUCAUUGGUCAUUUUUAAUAAGGAAGCUAAGAUAAUAAUAUUGUUCAUAAUUUAGAUAGAGUAUAUCAUUGUCUUUUUCUGGCAUCCAAUCUUUUGAUCAUAUUCUUAGUUGUAUUCAUUGAAAAUAUUUUGAAUGAAAUGAAGCCUACACAUUCUGCACAUGCGUAUAAGUAUCAGGCCACGUGGGUGCAAACUAAGAAUUAUGCCACUAUGGGAUUUACAUCUUGGAUUUUAAUACAUACAGUUCUAUCAUGACUCAUGUGUCUGAAACUUAGUAAUGGCUACCAACAUUGGAUUUUUAUAUGGUGGUGUAAACGAAGCCGAUCAUUUCAAUAUUUGUUUAUCAGUUCAAUUAAAAAAAGAUAAAUUACAUUUUAAUUUCUUAUAAUUUGGCUUAAAAUACUUUAUUCUCUGUUUUGAUAUUUUAUCAUCUUAUAUUUUGUUUUAAUUUAUUAUCGCAUUGAUAAUUUAGUAUAUUUUAUCUAUUUUCUAAAGAUUAAUUAUUAGUAAGGUUGGUGUUGGAAGUGAAGAAAUAAAGAUAUUUUUUAGAUGCAAGAAGGAGGAAACUGAAAACGAAGCAAGUAGUACUACUGUGGUGUGGUGUUAUUUUGUUUGGUUGUUUGAUAAUAAUUGUAAGCAUCAGUAAUGGGCAGUGGGUGGCAGCACAUGGCCGCCGUGCUCCACCAAUCACCAAUCCAACUUCGCUUUCUUAAAUCAUAUCGACAUAAGGACAAUUUCGUAAUAUUUUUAUUGUGGAAAGUGAAAACUAUGAAUCUAGCCAGAUUAUGUAACUAUAAAUAAAUGUUUUAAGAUUAAAAGUUAGUCCGUGGUUACAUGACCACUUAAUAAAGUCAUCAAGUGCUUUUUUUAAAAUAAAAAAAUAACCAUUCAAAUAUAAUUUAAUAGUGUAGAUUCAAAAUAUUUUGCGUGAUUUCUAUUUGGAAAUGGUUGGUUGUCUUUCCUGGUUUGUGUGGCUAUACAAACAUUCAUGCUGAACUGUUUGUCAUCUUUCAUGAUCUCAAUGUACCUUGGAACUCAACUUAUUGGCAUCAUAAAAUUGUAGCAUACAUUAAUGUUUCAAGAAAUUAAAGAUAGAGUCUAAUUUCCACAGUUCUUGAAUAAAUUUACUCCAAUUAAUUUUGAAACAUGAAGAAUACUAAACUAAAACUGAAAGAAUAAUUACGGGUUGAAGUUUGAACAAAUGAAAUGGGCGGCUGAGAUCAUUCACAUCAAUGCAUGUGAUAAAAGUAAAAUACAACAAACAUUAAUUGGAAGACUUAUUAAUUUGUUGGUUUAAAUUUUCAUAGUCUUAACAAAUUCAUCAUAGCUAAUUUGACCAUCACCAUCGAAAUCUGCAGUUGCAAUCAUCUCCUCCACCUCUCCAACAGUUGUGUUUUGACCCAGUUUGAUCAGAACUUGCCUCAACUGCAUAGCACGGAAGGAUUUUAAUAUGUGAGGGCAUGUGUACGUAUGUCUUUGAGCAUAUAUGCAGUUCUUAGUUAAUACUAAUAAAUUCUAUAGAAAAAAAGAAGUUAACACUGAUAAAUUAAAAAUGAUCGAGUGAAAACUGAAAAACAAGAUUUUCUUCCUGAUCUUAUUUUAAAAUGUCAAAACCCAAUGCAUUGUUUUUAAAACCAAACAGGCAAACAACUAUUAUUCAAAGUAUGCCGACAUGUGACAUAUAUAAAUAUGUACAUGAUAUCCUAGCCUCUCACCAUACAACUUCAUUCCAUUUUUAAUAUACAAUUAUGGAAAAGGUUUUAUUAUUAAAAAUAAUACACGGGAAAUUUUAUAUAAUUUUCAUUACUUUUUGUUUUAAAAUUAUUGAUUUUUUUAUUUUAAAUUAUUAAUAUUCUUUAUAUUUCUACCUUUUUUCAUUAUUCUUUAUUUAAAAUAUCUAGAUUUGAUCUUUACAAAAGAAUACUACACUUCUAACCUAUUUAAAAAGCGCUUUAACAAUAUCAUAUAUUAAAUAAGGUUACUUUAAUCUAAAUAUAUGAAUAUUAUAUACUUAUUAAUAAAUACUUUUUAAUCUAUUUACAGUAACCUUAAACAUCAAUAAUUUUAGAAGGGCUGUAGCAAUUUAUAAAAUAAAUUUAAAUUUGUAAUUCCAUGAAAAGGACAAUAUAUAUAUGUGUGUGAAUUGAAAAAAAGGUUAUACAAAUAUUUUUCAUGAAUUAUUCUGUUAUUGAUUCAGUCAUGAAUGAAAAAAAAGGGAAGAUGCACUUUGCAACAUCUUGACCCUACUUGCUUUUUGUUCAAGUUUGAAGUAACCUUACUUUGUCAGAAAUCUCAUGAAUACUUUGAUUGUUGAUUGCAGUCAGAGAAACCAAGUUAAAAUUUAAAAAAAAAAAAAUUGAAUAGAAAGAAUAAAAGUUUAUACAUAUACCUCACUUGCUGAAAUGUAGCCAUUUUGAUCCUUGUCAAACACCUUGAAAGCCUCUCUGUAUUCUUGCUCUUGAUGGGUAUCCUAACCGAGACAGAAAACAGAACUGAACUUAGUAUAUGGCUAUUGUAUAUAUAAUUGUAAUAAUGAGAAGGAUAUUAAUCUUAGCAAAAAAUGCAAUAUUAAUUCCUUACUUGCACUUUGGACUCUUGUUCAACAGGCAGAUCGGCAACAUGUAUUCUAGCAGGAUUAAUCUUCUCAGAGACCGACGCAACAAUUCUCUCAAUAAACUUGUACUCAUAUUCAUCUCUAUUAUUAAUAUUUGAACAUUAAAUUGUGAGACAAGUAAAACUUAAUUAAUCCAAUAAAAAUUAAAACAUAAAAAGAUUGGUAUCAUUGGGUACCUGUAUUUGAAAUGAAAGCCAGACAAGUCAGCAACUUGACGCAGAGCCAUCUCCCAAUUCUGGAACUUUUCUGGAAAUCUUAUCUUAUGCUUAGCCAAUGCUUCUCCAUAAGUACCCUUCUGGUGUCUGACAUCAGAAGGAUACACCUUAUAAAACACUGGUAUAAUCAUCAUCCCAUUAUACUGGGCGCAGUGAACAAUGGAUGUAAGUUCAUCUAAGCAAAAUGAGGAAGAAGCAAAGUCUUCAGAGAGCACAGUGAUGGCAAUUCUGGAAUCUUUAAUUGCCUUCAAAAGUGCAGGUGUUAUUUCCUCUCCGCUGUGAAGCUUCUCUUCGUCAAAGAAGGUACGAAUUCCCUUGUCAGAAAGAGCCCUGUAGAGAUUGCCGGUGAAACCAUAGCGUGUGUCUUCCCCUCUGAAGUUGAGGAACACAUCGUAGAUGGAUGCACGUGAACGUGUUGUUGCAGCCAUUAUUAGAUGAAAAAAGUUUAGAAUGAAACUUGAAGAAAUAUGAAAAUGAAAGUAUCCCAAAUGAUAAGUGUUAUAAAGAAGAUAGCCGCCUUUGUGGAAAAUAUCUUGCUUUUUCUCAUUCAUUGUUAUAAAAGUCAAGUCAAGCUCUUAUAAGGCAAGAUGCUCUCACUUUUUUUUUCAUUUUAAAAAAUACUUUUUAUACUCAAAUUUUGGCAAAUAAACUAUAAAAGUAUUUUAAAUGAUUAAUUGGUGGUACAACUAUUUCUGUCGCCCCUAUAAAAUAAUCUUUAGAGAAUCAAAAUAUAUAUAUAUAUAUAUAUAUAUAUAUUAACUAAUAAGUAAUCUGAUAAUUUUUAAUCAAAAUAGCUUCAGAAUUCGUUUUUUAUCAAAAACAGAGUCAAAAUAUAAAAGAGAGAUGAAAAUAGAAAAGAGAUAGAAUCUCAGAAAAAAAAAAGUUAUGCGUGAAAAUGUUUUACACGGUCAAUCAGCUUCACCUUUUCAACUUAUGUAUGAUAAAUUUGUUGAUUAUUAAACUAAUUAUUUUUAAAUAUUAUCUAUUAAGUAAAAAAUUGUCCUGAAUGCACAUAGUUAUUUAAAAAUCUAUAUAUAUGUAUAUUAAAAGGAUGUAGGACACUGAAUUAGGUUAGGACAAUCCAAAGCAUAACUCAGAAUCCAUUCUAAAGACUAUAUUAAUUUAGUCUAAUUUCAAAAUUCUAAUUCGUCUAAAUCAACUUUAAACUGAAUUCAGAUAAUGAAACUAGUUGGAUAUUGUUCGCCCUACAGUGUGAUAACUAUAAGGUUUGGAAGGAAAACAUUCUUCAUUUUGACUAAAUCAGCAUCGCUUAUGCUAUUAGGAAAUGAUAAAUCACUGAGUAUUACUGAAACUAACAGCUCUAGAUUUGUACACACAUAUAUAUAUGAUGUCUACCAGGCUUAAAUUACUGAGGUCAUAUUGUCAGAGAAACUGGAAUUCCACAUCUCAUAAAAUCUAAAAACAACCAGCUAUGUGUUCAUCCAAGACAAUCCUUAUGAUGAUAAUGAAUAAGACAUUCACUUGAAGUAUAUUUGAUUCUAGAGAGGCGUAGAACAAAACACAUCUAUUUUUUAUUUAUAAGCAAACACAAAUCUACUGAUAUGCUCAAACUCAGAGUGACUUAGCAUCCUAGGUAGGCAUUCUGCUAUAGAAAAGUAUAGCAAAUUCCACUUUCUGAAGUGCAGUAAGCAGCCAAUAUAGUAGUAUGAUUAAACCUAAGCAACACUGUUACAAAUUUAACUAGUCUAAGUCUUUCUUCUUCCUCCUCAAACUAUUUCUUCAUUGGAAGUUGAAUGCACCUGACCUUCACCUUGCAAUAGGGAACCCCUAGAAAACCUAUUCAAAGCAAAAAGGAAUCAAUAUUCUAAACUAAGAGGAAAAAUAAACCAUGGAAAUCCCAUUAAACAUUCUCACCAAAAUCUCAUUUGCAUGGAGUCCUGCUGUAUUUGUAUAAAAAUGUUGAAUCACAGUUCUUUCAUUCCUUCAAUCCAUUAUCGCGACUUUUAGCAGUGCAAAAGUCUUUUAGUUCAAGAGAGCAGUCACUAGUUUCCAGCAAUGGAAACCACUGCAGCAGGAGCAACUAGCAAUAGUUUGUAUGGGGAUUUUGAACCUUACAGCAAAUGGCUUACAAAGGUAGGACAACAGACUCUUGAAGAGUUUUCUGACUUUGCCUUCUCUGUUUCUUAGCAUUUUCACCUCAACAUUUAUUUUUAGAUAGUGGUGUCUCUUGGACUUUGCCUUCUCUGUUCCUUAGCAUUUUCACCUCAACAUUCUUAGCAUUUUUAUUAAAAACAGAGUCAAAAUAUAAAAGAGAGAUGAAAAUAGAAAAAAGAUAGAAUCUCAGAAAAAAAAAAAAAAAAAAGUUAUGCGUGAAAAUGUUUUACACGGUCAAUCAGCUUCACCUUUUCACCUUAUGUAUGAUAAAUUUAAAUUGGCUUGUUUAUUUCUUAGGCUACUUCCUAUCCUUAUUAAUGCCACGUUUUUAAUUUCCAUUCAUAAAUUUAAAAACAACAAGCUAUCAGCCAUCCUAGGACAAUAUCACUUUACUUCCUAAACUUAAUACUUAUUGUCAUUUAGUCCACAAAGCUAUGCUUAUAUUUUUAUUUAAGUCACACAACAUUUAGAAUUUUGGACUAAAAUAAGUGACAUCUUGCAUUUUCAAAGAUUUUUUUUUCUAACCUAAAAAAAUAAUUUUUUAAUCAUUUUAUUACUUUGAGGAAUAAAUUUGGCCGUGUCUCCCAAUUUCAUGAAAAAAUUAUCAUUUACUUAUCUAUUUCACAUGUUUUUAUAUCUAACUAAUAUGAUAUUAAUAGUCAUUUUUAAACUUAGAUGUUUUUAUGUGAAUACUUAGUUUAGUUGACUUCUUGCACUUAAAUUUACAACUUUUUAGUUAUUUAAUUAAAAAAAUAUUAUUCCAUUAUUAUGUCUGAAAUUAAACUAAAUUAGAAAUAUAUUUAAAACACCAUAUUAUACAAUAAGUUUUAUGUUCUGUUUAUAAGAUUGAAAUAUAUUGUCAAUAAACAUACAAAAAUUAAUUAAUUAAUUAAUUAGCAUUCAAAUUUUUUUAUUAAAAUUAAAAUUUGCAAAUGUAUAUACUUUUAGAUCACAUAUACUAAUAUUAGUAGUAUAAAAGAAAUUGUAAUAUAUUAUUAAAUAUACAAAUAAAGUACAAAUAUAUUAUUAUAUUGUUUUAUAGUAGAACUUGUAAGGAAAAAUCUAAAAGUAAACAAAAAGUAUAUUAAAGAAUUUUUUUACUUUCUUUUAAUUACAAUGUAUUUAUAAGAUAAAUAUCUGUUGGUUUAUGUAGUUUUGAAAUCUGGCUAUAAAAAUAUAUAGAAAGAUAAAACUUGAAAGGUUAUAUAUAGAAAAUGCAUAAAGUCAUGAAAGAUGAAUAUAAAUGAGUCAAAAGUACAUUAUGAAGAUAGGGCGAACACCAGUUGGAUUAAGUCGUUUUUUGAAGACUGAAACCAAAAUAAUAAAAUAAAAAAACAUGAAAAAAAUAAGAAAAAAGCAAUGGAAAACUUGCGUGUCCCCAAAGCUAUGGUUUGUAGCAAGGAGG